rnacentral:lncRNA from 1 species
UACCAUGAGCUGGUAAUGACUACAAAAGAGUAUAUGCGUGAGGUCACGGUUAUAGAUCCCAAGUGGCUUGUGGAACUAGCUCCCAGGUUCUUUAAAGUAUCAGAUCCUACAAAAAUGAGCAAGCGAAAGCGUCAAGAACGCAUUGAACCUCUCUACGAUAGAUACCACGAACCUAAUUCGUGGCGUUUGAGUAAAAGGCGAGCAUAAUGUGUUUUGAGUUAUUUAUAUCAACAAGUUUUCAAUCUUAUUUCAUUUUUUCUUGCUGCAAGCAUGUAGUUGUACAUACUCUCUGUCUUGAAACUUGAUAGUGUUUUGAAGAGAUCCGGAAACAUUUAUAUCCCUGAAAAUAACAAGUGAGGUCUUCUUGACAUAGAUAUGGCUAUCACUUGUGCAGCCAUUAACAGUUAUUUGGAUCAAUGUAAGAUUGGUUGUGGAAAGUAACUAGUUUAUUUGGUAAAAUUGGAAAUUUUUUUUUAUUCCUUUUCGUCUCAAAGAAAGCUCCAGCCCAAGACCGCAUGAGGCUGAGGGAAAGGUACUGGUCAGUCAUCGGAAUUAUAAAUAUAAUUUUGAAUUAAUUAUUACAAAUAAAAUAAAUUUUUAUUAUGAUCAUGAAAAUCAAGUCAAAUUCAAUGGAAAUUUUAUUUAAUUUUCUCACAAUAUGUUGAAUGAGAAAGAAUGGGGGAUUUAGAUGAAAAUUUCAAAAAAUAAUAAUUCUCAAAAUAAUAAAUUGAUGUCAUUAAAUCAGUUCAAGAGUCUACACAUCCAUUCCUAUAAAUUACAUUCAUUCCUAUAAAUUCGUUGAUUAUUAAAUCUGUUGAUUAUUAAAGUAAAAUAAAUAUUUCUUCACGUCAAACAAAUAAAUUCGAUAUCCCUUAAAGCUGAGGGAAAUCGAUGAGAUUACAAGUACAUUAAUUAUGAAAAGCUCUCUAAUCAAUUUAUUACCAUCAAGCGAAUGUAAUAUUGAAAACAAUUUUUGUUCGCUCGACAAUAGUUUUAGGAAUAAAAUCUAUGCAUUUAUUUUAAGCAAACAUUUAAAAGCUUGACAAUUUUAACUUAGUUUAUUCUUCCCUAAUAAAUCAAGAUGAGAGUUGUAGCAAUCAAAUUAAUUUUUUUGCUUCUUACUCUAGACCCUAACAAUAAUUACGGAUUGAAAGAAACUAGAAAGCAUACAUGAUAUCUCAAAACAAUUCAAUAAGCUUGAAUAACAAUCAAUAGUAUAAUUCUGAACAAUGAAAAAUAAAUACUUGAAUCUGAAAGAAUUACAAUAAUAACGUUACUUCUCACAACAUGCUAAUGGAGAUGGUGUGUCUCCCUCUUGAACCAAAUUCAGGAGUUUAGUUCAUGAUUGCUGGAAAAUUGAUAAAAACAGAGAAGAAAUGAAUUUUUUUGGAUCAUAUUUCAGCUGUGUUUUGCUCUCUUUAUCUUCCCCCUUUGUUGCCUAAAUCUUCAGGAUUCUUAGACUACUUAGGAAUCUUCAUGAUGCUAAAUUCGUUUCUUCUUUAUCUGGUCUUUAAUGUUGGAUAUCUCUCAGAAUUUGUGUUGAAAACUGAUUUUGCUGCUGUAACAAUUUUGCAGUAAUUUCAACUCUGCUGCAACUUAGACCUUGUUUUUGACUUCUUGGGUCCUAAGGCCCACUGUUUUUAUGUCAGACUCUCAGCUGUAGUACGAUGCUCGGCGCUGUUGGUUUCCUGAUCACAGUAGGAAACCCAUCUCGUCCUUUAGAUUGCGUUCAGAGUCUGGCCUUGAAAGCGAUUUUAUUUGAAUUGAAAUCCUUUAUUAAAGUUGUAGUAUUGAAUGUUUAGAUGAAUUUGAACUUUUUACUUUUUUGAUUUUGAUAUUUGAAGUUCAAGAUAUUUCCGUUCGAAUAUCUAAUAUAACGCGGGAGAGAAUGUCUAUCAAAUAAAGGAAAGAGAAAACGUGUGGGCUAUUGAUAACCUUGACCAGGACUUGAAGCUCUUAAUAAUUUCACGUCGUAGAUGUCAAUGGAAAUGACUAGGAAGCUGAGACAUUUUUCUUUCAAAAAUAUUUGUACACCACAGAAACAAAUGGUUGAAAGAAAGGAAUGAGAAAACGCAUGGGAUAUUUAAUUGGUGAAGAUGAAUUAAUUGGUGGGUCUGCCAUCUGCAUCAGCCUUUUCGCUUGUAAUUUAUAUUUAUAUUCAUAAUUAUAAUUUUUAAUCUUGAUAUUAGGGCUCCAAAGAGAGAAGAUGGCAAAGUCAAUUUAAUUGAAAAAGUUAUUUAUAACUUUAUGUUUUUCUUUUCAUCUAGAUAUCAUAAAAUAAAGAGUUUUAAAGUCAAAGGUUACCCAAUAUAUUUAUUAUGAAAAGGACCCACUUAUUUAAAAAUAAAAAUAGUCCACCUUCCCACACUUCAACCCAUAUAUAUUUGUUUUGUGCUUAGAAAAACUUUCUCAACUUAUAAACAAACAGGUGGAGGAUAAUAGUUGGAAGCCUUUUAGAAUGAGAAGGAAUGGGUUGAAGAUUUCUCAUUUAUGUUUUGCAGACGACAUGUUGUUGUUUACAGAGGCAAGUAUGGAUCAGCUGGAGAGAGUUACUAAAUGUCUUGAUACUUUUUGUGCAGCGUCGGGGCAGAAGGUUAGUAAUACAAAGACAAAAGUAUAUUUCUCAAAAAAUGUAUCAGUCUCCUUGGCAGGUGAUAUUAGCAGGAGAAGUGGUUUUCAAAUCACUAAAGAUAUGGGGAAGUAUUUAGGGGUGCCUUUACUUCACCAAAAAGUAACUAAGAAUACAUAUAGUUACUUAUUAGACAAUAUGCAGAAAAAAUUAGCAGGUUGGAAAGCUAGUAAUCUGUCUCUGGCAGGGAAGAUAACUCUCUGUAAAUCUGUGCUUUCCACGAUCCCUUUAUAUCCGAUGCAAGCUGCUGUUAUCCCCAAACAUACGUGCUAUGAGAUAGAGAAAAUAUGCAUGAGAUUCAUAUGGGGUCAACAAGAAGGUAGAGACAAAAUCCAUCUUGUGAAUUGGAACAAGAUGUGUUGGCCGAAGGAAGAAGGCGGGAUGGGGUUAAAGAAAAUGAAGUCAAUGAAUAGAGCCUUUUUAAUGAAAUUGGCUUGGGGAAUGAUGAAGGAGAAUCAUCUUUGGGUAAAAGUUCUAAAGGACAAGUAUAUGAGCACUAGGAGAAGGGAAGGUAAUCCAGUGGCAAUACCGUCUGACUCAGUGUUGUGGAAGGCCAUUUGUAAAGAAUGGGACACGGUGAACCAGAAUGCAACCUAGAAUGUAGGGAAUGGCAAACGGAUUUUAUUUUGGAGAGACAGUUGGUUGGAGAGUUAUGGGCCUAUCAUUAAUCAUUUAGAGAGGGAGGUGCAGGUAGAGACUCUUGAUUAUACGGUGGCUGAUAUGGUGGACGAUAGGGGCAAUUGGAAAUGGGAUGUGUUUGCCCAUCUAAUUUCUAUGCAAAUUGUGAUGAGCAUUGUUGGAUACACUCCACCAAUGCAAGAUGGAAUAGACGACACGGUGGGUUGGGAUCAUUCUUCAAAUGGAAAGCUUACAGUCCGAACUGCUUAUAUGGUUUUAGAGGAAAGGGGGGAGAUGAAUCAAGACCCUAUUUGGAGGUUGAUUAGAAAGUGGCAAGGCAUGGAGCGUAUCAAAGUGUUUCUUUGGACGGUAGCCCAUAAUUCUAUUAUGACCAAUGACCUGAGAUAUCAGAGACAUUUAACAGCUAAUAGAUUUUGUGAUCAUUGUGGUACUGAAGUGGAAACAUUAACCCAUGCGUUGCGCGAUUGCCCUAAAGCUCGCAAAAUUUGGGAGGUGUUCGUAAAGGUAGAGAAUAGAGAGUUAUUCUUCAGUCAAAAUUGGUAUGCAUGGCUGGUAUCAAAUAUGUCCGCCAGAAAUAGAACUACGGAUCAUGGGGCUUGGUCGUUGGAAUUCGGAAUAGCUCUAUGGUAUAUUUGGAAAGAAAGGUGUAAUAGAGUUUUUGGAGUAGAUCAGGGUAAUUGGUUUAGGGCUAUUCUUGCUAUAAAAAGAAUGGUCCGGGAUACUGAGUUUACUCAAAGGCAUGGUAAUGAUGAGGGAAGAAGCAGUAAGGAAGAUACUCAGGUUGGGUGGAAAUACCCACAAGAAGAGCGGAUCAAGCUAAACGUGGAUGGAUGCAGCAAAGGAAAUCCAGGAGUGGCAGGUGCUGGAGGAGUGAUUAGAGACCAUUUGGGAGCGUGGAUAGGGGGUUUUGCAAGGAAUAUUGGUAUUUGUUCGUCAGUUAAUGCAGAGUUAUGGGCGGUCUAUGUUGGGCUUCAACUUGCAUGGGAUAGAGGGUUUAGGAAGGUGGAUUUGGAAUCCGAUUCCAAAGUUGUAGUGGGUCUCAUUAAUGGGGAUAGUGUGAGAGUGGACAGGAAUUAUAAUAUAAUUAUGCAGAUUAAAGGUAUGUUAGGGAGGGAUUGGGAAGUAACAACUUAUCAUGUGUAUAGGGAGGCCAAUUGUGUGGCCGAUUGGUUGGCAAAUUAUGGGCUAACUAGGGAUUUAUUAGACAGGGGAUCAGAUGUGUUAAAAGAACCACCGUUGGGGCUUUAUCCCUUAUUGUAUUAUGACCUGAUUGGGUCUACUGUUACUCGUUCAAUUUAGAAGGGCUUAUUAGCCCCGAUUAUUACCAAAAAAAAAAAACACUAAAUAAUAAUAAAAAAUUGAAAUGUUUUGCAAGGACCGGUCCCUGCUUGCCUUCCUUUAAUUCCGCUGCUGAUUGUAUCACUAGAUUUUCUAGGAGGUACAGUCUAGCGAUUAGAAUUUCUCAUCCAAAACAAAUUAUAUAUGUAGGCCUUAUAAUGUAUUUUUAUAUAUAAAAUUAUUUUUGAUAUUAACAUAUUAAUAUGAUCUAAAAAAAUUAAUUAAUUAAAAAUAAAAAAAAAUUAAUUUUUUUUUAAAAUAAUUUUACAUAACAGAAAUACAUGGUUGAAAGAAAGGAAUGAGAAAAUGUAUGGGCUAUUGAUGACUUUGAGCAAGACUGAAGCUCUUAAACACUAAAUAUUAUUCUUUUUAAAUGUCCAAAGAAAUUUAGAGAAGCAGUGUUUUUGCCACGUGGAGAUUUGUAGAACCCGGUAGCAUCUUCUACUUUUCAUCAACACUCAAAUCAAUAUCCAUGACCAUUUUUUCAUUCUAGCUCCCUCAAGUUUUUAAUCCUUCCUCUGUUUUGGUCAAUAAAUCUUAUUUUUUUAUUUUAUUUUUCUGGUAUGAUGUUUAAAUUAUACCACUACUUGUAAUACAUGAGAGAUACGACAAAAGAGUGAGAAAUAAAAUAAAAAGUUUGAAUUUUUUAUUUUAUUUUCUCUCUUUCCUUUCCUUUGUGUUUAUGGAAGUAUUAUUAGUUACACUUUAAGUAUUAUAUAAUAAUAAAAAAUAAAAGAAAUUAUAUCCAUCGACCUUGAUUUAUACAAUUAAUGACUUAAUUUUAAAUUUUCUUACAGUGCUUUUUAUAUUAUAUAUAGGAAAGUUGUGAAGUGAAUGGAUAUUCAAAGUUAAAUUACCCACCAAAUUCUCAUCGCUCUCAAUUAUUACUUCCAUACCCACUUCGAUAUUAUCUUUUUUUGUGAUCAUGCUGCAGAUAAAGCACGACAAGUCGUUUCAUCUUCUUUAUGUUCUUAUUGUGCUUCUGUUGCUCAUGAAACUUGCACCUGGGUUCAUUUCUGGAGUGAAAGGGGCAACUUUCGGGUGCAUAGAGAGGGAGAGACAAGCCCUUCUCAAGUUUAAAGAAGACCUUAUUGAUGACUUUGGUCUUCUUUCAACUUGGGGAAGUGAAGAAGAGAAGAGGGAUUGCUGCAAAUGGAGAGGAGUUGGAUGCAACAAUCGAACUGGUCAUGUUACUCAUCUUGAUCUUCACCGGGAGAAUGGCGGCAAGUAUUUAACCGGUAAGAUCAGUAAUUCACUACUUGAGUUGCAGCAUUUAAGUUAUAUGAAUAUAAGUGGAAGCAAUUUUGAAAGGAAUUCUUUUCCAUAUUUCAUUGGUUCUCUAAAAAAACUAAGAUACCUGGAUCUCUCCUCCAUUGGUGUUGAUGGAACUCUUUCAAAUCAGCUUUGGAAUCUUUCAAGAUUACAGUAUCUUGAUCUUAGUAAUAAUUAUUAUGUUAAUUUUAAAAGUCUUGACUUCCUAUCUAACCUUUUUUAUCUUGAGUAUCUUCACCUGAGUGGAAUCAACCUCAGUCAAGCUGUUGACUGGAUACAAUCAGUUAACAAGCUUCCACUUUUAAAAGUCUUACGGUUAAGUAGUUGUGAUCUUUCAAAAAGCAGCCCUCCCUCACUUUCUUUUACAAAUUCUUCUAAAUCCCUAGCUGUCAUUGAUCUCUCUUCAAACAAUCUUGCUUCUUCAACAUUCAAUUGGUUGUCCAACUUUAGUAACAGCCUUGUUGAUCUUGAUAUUAGUUCUACCGGGAUUAUCAGUUCUAAAAACCUCAAUUGGCUUUCCUAUUUUUCUUCUCUUGAAUAUCUUGACCUGAGUGGCAAUAAUCUUAGUCAGAUCAUUGACUGGCCGCAGGUGAUUUACAAUCUCCCUCGCUUACAUGAAUUGGGGUUUAGUUCUUGUAGUCUUUCAAUUAUCGGUCCUCCAUCUCCUUCUCUUGUAAACUCCUCUGAAUCUCUUGUUGUCGUUGAUUUCUCUGCAAACCAGCUUACAUCUUCAAUAUUUUAUUGGUUGGCCAACUUCAGUAACAACCUCGUUGAUCUUGACCUCUCGUAUAACCAAUUACAAGGUUCAAUUCCAGAUGCUUUCACAAACUUGACUUCUCUUAGGACUCUUGAUCUAUCCUAUAACCAAUUACAAGGUUCAAUUCGAGAUGCUUUCACAAACAGGACUUCUCUUAGGACUCUUGAUCUAUCCUCUAACCAAUUACAAGGGGAUUUGAGUUCAUUUGGGCAGAUGUGCAAUUUAAAUGAACUGUAUGCAAGUGGAAAUAAUCUCACUGGAGAGCUGUCUCAGCUGUUUCAAGACUUUCAUGGAUGUGUGGAGAGCUCACUAGAGAUUCUGCAACUAGGCGGAAAUCAGCUUCAAGGUUCACUGCCAGACAUCACAAGAUUCACUUCCAUGAGAGUGCUGGAUCUCUCUCAGAAUCAACUGAAUGGAUCUUUACCAAAACGAUUUAGUCAACGUUCUGAACUUGUUUCCUUGCACUUGAAUGACAACCAACUCACUGGAUCACUUACGGAUGUUACGAUGCUUUCAUCAUUAAGAGAGUUGUGGAUCGAUAACAAUCGCUUAGAUGGGAAUGUUUCUGAAAGUAUUGGAAGCCUAUCUCAGCUCGAGGAAUUGCAUGUUGGAGGGAAUUCCCUACAAGGUGUGAUGUCUGAAGCUCACUUUUCAAAUCUCUCCAAAUUAACGGUAUUGGAUUUAACUGAUAACUCCCUAGCUUUGAAAUUUGAGUCUAACUGGGCUCCUUCUUUUCAAUUGGUUCACAUAUUUCUUUCGUCUUGUGAUCUGGGUCCUCAUUUCCCUCAAUGGCUUCGAAAUCAAAAUAAUUUCAUGGAGCUAGAUAUUUCUGGUUCUGGAAUUUCAGAUACAAUCCCUAAUUGGUUUUGGAACUUGACCAAUUCCAAGUUGGAAUACUUAGACCUUUCUCACAACAAGAUGAGUGGAGUUUUGCCAGAUUUCUCAUCAAAAUAUUCCAAUCUCCAAAACAUAGAUUUGAGUUUCAACCUGUUUGAGGGUCCAUUAUCACUUUUUUCAUCAGAUACCACAUCAACCUUGUUUCUCUCUAACAAUAAGUUUUCAGGUCCAGCUUCUUUUCCAUGUAAUAUUGGAAGUCGUAUCUUGAAGGUCCUUGACCUUUCAAAUAACCUGUUGACGGGAUGGAUUCCUGAUUGUUUAAGGAAUUUCACAAGUCUAGGUAUUCUGAAUUUGGCCAGCAACAACUUUUCAGGUAAAAUUCCCAGCUCCAUGGGAUCAAUGCUCAAUCUUGAAACAUUGAGUUUGCAUAAUAAUAGCUUUGUUGGAGAAUUACCUUUGUCUUUGAGGAAUUGUAGUUCUCUAGUAUUUUUAGACCUGAGCUCAAAUAAGUUGCGAGGAGAAAUACCAGGCUGGAUAGGAGAAAGCAUGCCAUCUCUGGAAGUCCUAUCCCUACAAUCUAAUGGAUUCAAUGGAAGCAUACCGCCAAAUCUUUGUCACCUGUCAAAUAUUCUGAUCUUGGACCUAUCUCUAAACAAUAUCUCGGGAAUCAUUCCAAAGUGCCUUGAUAAUUUCACUUCCAUGGUUCAAAAAACAGAGUCAGAACAUUUCCUUUCGAAUAAUGCUGUUCUUACUAGGUAUUACAGUGGACCAGGUAUCUAUGGUACAUAUCAGAAUAAGAUGAGGGUUGGAUGGAAAGGAAGAGAGGAUGAUUAUGGAAACACACUAGGACUUUUGAGGAUCAUUAAUUUUGCAAGAAAUAAAUUAAUAGGUGAAAUUCCAGAAGAAAUAACAGGACUCUUACUGUUGGUUGCACUGAACUUGUCGGGAAAUAAUUUGACUGGAGAAAUCCCUCAAAAGAUUGGGCAGUUGAAACAGUUGGAAUCACUUGAUUUGUCAGGAAACCAAUUAUCAGGAGUAAUUCCUAUCACAAUGGCUGAUCUAAAUUUUCUGGCUUUCUUGAACCUCUCCAACAAUCACUUGUCGGGGAGGAUUCCGUCAAGCACUCAGCUGCAAGGCUUUAAUGCUUCACAAUUUACCGGUAACCUUGCAUUGUGCGGGCAGCCACUCUUACAGAAAUGCCCUGGAGAUGAGACGAAUCAAAGUCCACCUGCUAAUGAUGACAACCAAGGCAAAGAAGUCGUCGCUGAUGAAUUCAUGAAAUGGUUUUGUACUGCUAUGGGAAUUGGUUUUAGUGUAUUCUUUUGGGGAGUUUCAGGUGCUUUACUGCUAAAACGUUCCUGGAGACAUGCCUAUUUCCUGUUCUUGGAUGAAUCAUGGGACUGGCUCUAUGUGAAGGUAGCAGUGUGCAAGGCACGACUUCAACGAGAAUUUCAGAGGCUGCACGAGCACGUUCUUGCUUAGAAGGAUUGCAAGGUAAUAUGGUUAUUCACAUAUCUUUUCUUUUCUUUUUAUAUUGAAGACUAAUGGUUCAUUUUAUACCAGGAGGUGCAGCUGGGUGCAUAACAGGUCCUCUUUGUCCAAGGAGUUCGUAGUGUUUGCUGGAGCUACAUCGUCCUUUACCUUGGCAACUUCAUCGUCGUCUACUACUGCAAGUUUGAAAUAAGGUUGCAUUGGAGAACUCUUUGUACAGCUGCUGGGUUUUAUGUGAAACUAUGGAAGUGAUCAUGUAAUAUAUUAUGGAAUCUCAAAGUUGGUUUUUAUAUGAAUUUCAUUUGGAAUGUUUUUGCAAAUAUUUAGUUCUUUACUUAACAGUGUGAAGAUGGAACAUAUUCAUUCUCCAAAUCAAAAAAUUAUGCCAGUACUUGCUUAUUUUGCUACAGAAUUUAAUUAAAAACACAUGUAAUUUACAUUUUUAUUUAUCUGCUUUUGUUGAAUUAUUGGCAUUAAAUCAAGCAAUUAGCAGGUAUUGAAAUUGAUGUUAAUUCAAGCCUAUACAUUUCAGAGAAAUUUCUUCGAAGAUUAGUUCAAAAGGUAUAAAUGUGUCAAUGGUGAUUGUUGAAAAGUAUGCCCAGUCAUAUAAGAAAGGAAGAAGGAGAAAAAAUGGGGUUGCGAUGCAGCCAUUGACGAGUUCCCUUUAAAAGAAUUUUUAAAGGGAUAAAAAGGGAUAAGUGAAUUCCUGUACAUUGAGAAGAACAAUGAUGCAUUCACAUAUUGCUUUCUUCUUUGUUUUAGUCAUUUAAAUAUUUUUUAGUAACUUAAUUUGUUUUUCAUUUUGAUCUUUCCAUACCGAGUGUUUUUUGGAUUGAAUUUAAUAAUUUAUUUUGUUAACUUAAUUUAUAUGAAUUUAUGAUAAUGUAAAAAAAAAUAUUUUUAAAAGUAAGUUGAUGGAUACUAAAAUUGACUCUAAAACAAAAAUUCAGCCUCUUUUUUUUUUCCCCGCAUUAUAGCUAAGGCGUGUUUUGAAGAAUUUUGGGCUCUCAAGUUCUAAUUUUUGCAACUUCAUCCAUUUUUUCUAAGGCUUUUACAUUUUACUUUAAAAAAUUAUUUUUUGUUCACAUAUUAGUUUUCGAGUUGUUGAAAAAUAAAAAAAAUAAAAUUUUUUGUUAGCCAGCCAUUUUUUGGUGAUCAAAAACAUUGUUUUUGAUGUUAAUGGUUUUGUUUCACAAAAAAAAAGUUUAAUUGAAGUAUUUUUUACUUAUCUUGCAAUAAAGAAUAGAUAGGGUCUCCAGAUUUUUUUUUAAAUAAACAUGUAGCUGUACAUACUCUCUGUCUUGAAACUUGAUAGUGUUUUGAAGAGAUCCGGAAACAUUUAUAUCCCUGAAAAUAACAAGUGAGGUCUUCUUGACAUAGAUAUGGCUAUCAAUUGUGCUGCCAUUAACAGUUAUUUGGAUCAAUCUAAGAUUGAUUGUGGAAACAUUAUAGCCAUCUUCUUAGAUGGAAGUGCUGAUCUUCUUAGAUGUCAAUUUAAGAUUCAGCCUUCCAGUGAGGAAGACUUGCACUUCACAUGGAAGUGCUGAUCUUCUUAGAUGUCAAUGGAAAUGACUAGAAAGUUGAAGCAUCUUCUUAAAAACACUGAUGACCUGAAAAAUCUUUGUCUAAAAGUAAGGGAUCCGCACUAUCAGUAAAUGGUUUUUUUCCUAUGAGGUUCACUUGGAGAGCACACUAGGUAGGUAGCCCGUGCUGCACCGCGAGUCAAUCUUUGUUUUGUUAUAAAAAAUGUCAAAAAAGAUAAAUAUUUUUUAAAACAUAAAAAAAAUAUAAUAUUUAAGUAAUUGACUCGAAUGAGUUUAAGAAACUCUGUUAAUUUAAUAAUAUUAUUGGAAAAUAAAAUAUCGACAACAAAACAAAGCAAAAAAAAAAAAACAAUAAUUCAAUGCAAAAGAUGCACGCUUGCCAAUAUUGUGAAAAUAAAUAUUCACAAUAUUUCAAAAGCAUCUCAAUGAUCUUAUUUGUUAACAAAAUAAAAAUUAAAUGAAAAUAAAAUAAUUUCAUAGAAAGAAAAAAAAAACAUGAAUAUAAAAAAAUAAGAAAAAAAAAGUCAAUUACUGUUUAUUUUUUAAAGCAUGACCCGGGUUAUAAGACUGAAAACACUAUAUGUGAAAAAAUCAUAAGGGUUGAAAUCACAAAAAAAAAAAAACAACAAAAACAAAUCUAACACAAAAAAAUCCAACAUAAAAAAAUACAACAAAAAUAAUGAAUGUUAAAAUUUCAAUAAAAAAUAAAUAAAAAGGCAACAACUUUUAAAUUUGAGAGUUAAAUUGUAAAAAAAAAAAAACAUUAACAAAAUGACAAAAAUCAAAAGAAUAAAGACAAAAAAAAAACAACGCACUAUAAACUUGGAUUGAAUGGUGAAACUAAAAACAAAUAAACUUUCAUAAAAGAUUUAAGGAAAAAAAUUAAAAUAUAAUAUAAAAAUUAAUAUAUAGAAUUAUUCAAUGUUUUUUUUUACACAAAAAAAACUCCUAGAUAUAAAUCAAAAAACUUAUGCAUGCAUCUAAUUAAACAACUCAAUAACCAUUGUGUAAAGCAAUGAAAAAAAAUCAUAAACAAUAAAAACAAAUUGAGAAAAUUAAGCAAAAAAUAAAGAUCAAGAUAUCUAACAUCGCAAUAUAUAUAUAAUUUACCUGGUUAUAUUUAAUAAAUUUCUCAAUCAAAAUAAAAUUAUAAUAAAAAUACAUAAAAUUUAUAAUAAAAACCGACACAAAUAUAAAAUUUAUUAAACAAUAACUAGCCAUGGAUUUAAUUUUGGUAGCAACGUUAUGCUCCAAUAUCUUUAUCGAAACAAGGUUAGGGUUGGAUGGAAAGGAAGAGAGUAUGAAUAUGAAAGUACUCUAGGACUUUUUAGGAUCGUUAAUUAUUUUGCAGGAAACAAAUUAAUAGGGGAGAUUCCAGAAGAAAUAAUUAACAGGACUCUUACAGUUGAUUGCACUGAACUUAUCAGGAAAUAAUUUGACUGGAGCAAUCCCUCAAAAUAUUGGGCGGUUGAAACAGUUACAAUCACUUGAUUUAUCUGGAAACCAAUUAUCAGGAGUAAUUAAUUCCAAUGAAAAUGGCUUAUCUAUAUUCCAUCAAGCACUCAGCUGCAGAGCUUUGAUGCUUCGUUAUUUUCUGGUAAUGGCUGCCACUCAAACUAAAAUGCCUAGCUCGGAGAUGAGACGAAUCAAGGUCCACCUGGAGGCAUGCCUGUUUCCGGUUCUUGGAUGAAUCAUGGGAUUGGCUUUAUGUGAAGGUAGCAGUGUGCAGGCACGGCUUCGAAGAAAAUCUCAGAGCUUGUAUCAGCACGUUCGUUCUUAGAAGGAUUGCAAGGUAAUAUAUUUUCUUUUUCUGUUUCUUUUUAGCACAACAAUCCAUGAGACUAAACCUUUUAUAUUGUAUAUAUUAAUGGUACGUUUUCAUGCAUUCUGGGUUUUCCCUUUUCAUUUUAUAGCAAGAGCUUCAGCUUGGUGCAUAAUAGGUCCUCUUUUGUCUAAGGAGUUCGUAUUGUUAGUGUACGUGUUUGCUGGUGCUACAUCAUUCUUUACCUUGGUGUCUUCGUCGUUGUCUACUACUACAGGUUUGAAGUAAGGUUCCAUUGGAGAACUCUCUGUACACCUGCGGGCUUUUAUAUGAAACUAUGAAAAUGAUUAUGUAAUAAAUUAUGGAAUCUCAAAGUUGGUUAUUGUGAUCGAAUUUCUUUGGUUAGGAAUGUAUAAUUUUGUUGCUUAACUUCGUGAAAAUGUUGUCGUCACGUAUGUAGUUCUUUGCUUAACAGUGUGAAGAUGGAACAUUUUCAUUCUCCAAAUUAAAAAUAUAUAUAUGUAAUGCCACAUGCUUAUCUUGCUAUCUCAGUAAUAAAUUCGCAGUAAAGCAAACCUCCUGAGAUUUGCAUUUUGUUCUUUUUGUUCACAGCCGGAGCUGCCUAUUGAUGGUGCGAGAUAGAAACUGAAACAGCAAAAACACCUCACCCACACCAUGCAUCAUUUUAUUCCAUUCACUUCACUAUUCUGCACAUUUUCUCUCCAAAGCAAAGCUGAAUUUGCUCAGAGGGGAGAGAGAAGAAAAGGAGAGAGAGAGAAAGAGUAACUGAGGACAAACUGCAGCUCUGUUUCCGACAUACCAAUUACCAUUGAAAAGAUAUAAACAAGAUGAACUUGAUGAGACCGUAGAAGACCAUCAAAAGUGCUCAAAAAAGGAAAUUUCAUCAAAAUUGUUAAGAAUAGACAUAACCCGUAUUUGAUUUUAAAAUCUAGAUAUCAGUUUCUUUUUAAAAAAAAAGACGUACAAAAAAUAACUCUUAUCCCUAAAAAAGAAGAUUUUAUCGAGGCUGUUAAAAGAAUGGGGUGUUAGACCCAUAUGGCCGAUAAGAAUUGGGUUUGGACUCCAGGAGAUUUCAUUUCUUCUUGCUACAAACUUGUAGUUGUACAUACUCUCUGUCUUGAAACUUAUAAUGUUUUGAAAAGAUCCGGAAACAUUUAUAUCCUCUGAAAAUAACAAGUGAGGUCUUCUUGACAUACAUAUGGCUAUCACUUGCAGCUUAGGAAAAUUGGGGGGAUUGCAUUGUUUAGGUGAUUGGUGAAAUAUUGUAUGUCAGUGUGCUAAGUCUAUUUUGAGAAUCCACUUUGAAAUUUUUUGAGGUGGUUUCACUCUGCGCAGGUAGUUCCAGUUUCCAUCUAUGCGGGUACGCGAAGCUGCUUAGGAAAAUUGGGGAAAGGACUAGAAAACCCUAAUGCAACGAUUCAUGUGGUAAGCCAGAUUUAGUUAAAUGGAUUCUGCUAUGUGUUCGAAACCUGAUAACUAGUUUCUGUUAGAACCCCAACAAUCCUGAGUCCGAACGUUUUCCUCCUUCCUGUAUAUGUGCUGCUUAAACUAGACGGCUUGACUUGCAAUUUAAAGUGUUUCGCAGAUGGAAACAAUAAAUGCAAUUAAAAAGAAAUUAACAAAGUGGGACAAGAAAAUCCAAGAAAUAGAUUCAGCUUCCAUAGAAAAUGAAAUAAAAAAGAUCGAGAUGGCUAUAAUGUCUCCACCCAGACCAUAAGUUGAUGCGGGAGAGAAUGUCUAUCAAAUAAAGGAAAGAGAAAACGUGUGGGCUAUUGAUGACCAUGACCAAGACUUGAAGCUCUUAAUAAUUUCCAUUAAGGAAGACAUGCACUUCAUAUGCAGAGGGUGAUGGUGUUUGAGAGUAUAGUUGUCAUUCCUUUUCAAAUAAUUUUUGGUACUGAAAUGUAUUAAAAUGAUUUUUUAAAAAAAAAUUAUUUUUGAGAUCAACACGUCAAAACGAUCCAAAACAUACCAAAAAAAUUAAUUUUAUGCAAAAUAAAAUAAAUUUUUUUAGAAACGCGAUUUGCAAGGCGUUCCCAAACGAACACUGUGCUGAUCUUCCUAUAUGUCAAUGGAAAUGACUAGGAAGCUGAGGCAUCUUCUUAGACAAAAUAAUCUUGAAAAGUCUUUGUCUAAAAGUAUGGGGUACUCACAAUUAAAGGAUGAUUAGUAGUAUAGUAGAUGUUUUUUUUGUUUAGAAAUGUUUAAAAAUAAUAAUUUUUUAUUUUUAAAAAAUUAUUUUUGAUAUUAAUAUAUUAAAAUAAUCUAAAAAUAUCAAAGAAAAAUUAAUUUGAAGUGAUGAAAAACAUUUUAAUUUUUUUGAAAUAAUUUUUUUUAGAGAAACAAUAAAUGGUUUUUGCCUAUAAAUUAAGGUUAUAGACCACAUAAUAAGAUAAAUAAGAUAUUUGAACCAUUAAAAUUAUUUUUUUCACGUGAUAUCUUAACCCGUUGUCUUAAACAAAUAAUAAUAAUAAUAAAGAAUUUUUGUUUAUCCCAAAAGCUCAUCCCAAUUUUUCAUUUUCCUUUAGCCUCUCUCAUCUCAUUCUUGCAAUUGUACCUUUCAAUGUCCAUCAAAUCUCAAUCCAUUGAUUUCCUUCACCAAUCUCUUAUGAAGCCGACAUGCUGGAUGAAGAACACCAUCACUUUGUCCACAUGUUUUUUUUUCUCCUAAAAUUACUAAUAUGCUAAAGGAGACUUGUAGAGCAUGGUAGCAUCUUCUACUUUUCAUCAACACUCAAUAUCCAUGAUCAUUUUUUCAGGGUAUAUUUCGUAGUGUGGUUGUGGUUGUGGUUGCUUUUCAAAUAACUUUUUAUACUGAAAUGCAUGCCAAUGAUGUUUUUUUAUUUUUUAAAAAUUAUUUUUGACAUCAAUAUAUCAAAACGAUCCAAAACAUACAAAACAUAUUAAAUUUUAGCAAAAAAAAAAAAUUAAAUUUUUUGAAAACGUGGUUUGCACCGCGUUCCCAAACGGUUUCUCAGUCUAGCUCCCUCAAGUUUUUAAUCCUUUCUGCUUUGGUCAAUAAAUCUUUUUUUUUUCCUGUUAUGAUGUUUAAAUUAUACCAUUACUUGUAAUAUAUGAGGGAUAUACACAAAUAAUAAAGACAGAAGAGUGAGAAUUAAAAAGAAAUUAAGUGAAAACUUUCUUACUGAUUCUCUCUCUUUUCUUUGUGUUUAUGAAGUAUUAUUAAUUAUAAAAUUAAAAUAUAUAUAUAUCUAUCCAUCUAAUCAUAUACAUCAACCUUGACUGAAUUUUAUGAACAUUUCCCGCGGAGAUAUUGCACACCAAACUGUUGGGGAAGAGCACAGAUAAUUUUAAUUUUUUAAAAAAAUAUUUUUGAAACUCAAAUAAAUAUAUUGAAAUAAAUUUUUUUUAUGGAACAGCAUAAUAAGAUAAAUAAAGUAUCUAAACCAUUGAAAUAAAUUUUUCCAAAUGAUAUCUUCUUAAAUACUAAUCACUUGAAAAGUCUUUGCUUAAAAGUAAUGGGCACCCACUAUCAAAAUAAAAAAGAAAUAUAUCAAAAUAAAAAAGAAAUUUAGAAAAAACAGCAAAUAGUUUUUGCCUAUGAGGUUAAGGCUAUGGACCACAUAAUUAAAUAAAUAAGGCAUCUAAACCAUUGAAAUUAUUUAUUCCACAUGGCAUCUUCUUAAACACACAGAAGACUUGAAAAGUCUUUGCCCAAAAGUAUGGGUCACGCACAAUUCCUUCUAGGAUGUUUAACAAUAUAAUAAAAAUUAUUUUUUAAAAUAUAUUUUUUAUAGAAAUAUAUUAAAAUAAUAUUUUUUUUAUUUUUUAAAAAUUAUUUUUAAUAUUCGUAUAUUAAAAUGAUUUAAAAGCACAAAGAAAAAAAAUUAAUUAAAAUUAAGAAAAUUUUUUAAAAAUACUUUUAAAACACAAAAAUAAAUAUAUUCAAAUAAAACAAAUUAAAAAAAUAGUAAAUGGUUUUUGGUUUUUUCCACACGACAUCUUCUUUAAACACAUUGAAUAAUUCGAAAGUCUUUGCCCAAAAAUAUGGGGCACACACAGGAUGUUUAAUAGCGUAGUAGAGAUUAUUUGUUAAAAUAUUUUUUUAUUUAGAAAUGUAUUAAAAUAAUAUUUUUUAAAUUUUUAAAAAAAUUAUUUUUGAUAUUGUUACAUUAAAAUGAGCUAAAAGCACAAAGAAAAAAUUAAUUUAAAGCAAAGAAAAAAAAUUUAAAUUUUUUUAAAAAUAUUUUUAAAACACAAAAAUAAAUAUAUUAAAAUAAAAAAAAUAGAGAAACAAUAUAUAUUUUUUGGUUUUUUCCACGUGACAUCUUCUUUAAACACAUUGAAUAAUUCGAAAGUCUUUGCCCAAAAAUAUGGGGCACGCACGGGAUGUUUAAUAGCGUAGUAGAGAUUAUUUGUUAAAAUAUUUUUUUUAUUUAGAAAUGUAUUAAAAUAAUAUUUUUUUAAUUUUAAAAAAUUUAUUUUUGAUAUUGUUACAUUAAAAUUAAAAUGAUCUAAAAGCACAAAGAAAAAAUUAAUUUAAAGUAAAGAAAAAAAAUUUAAUUUUUUUUUAAAAUAUUUUUAAAACACAAAAACAAAUAUAUUAAAAUAAAAUUAAUUAGAAAAACAGUAUGUACUUUUUUUGUUUUUUCCACGUGACAUCUCUUUAAACACACUAGACUUGAAAAGUCUAUGUCCAAAAGAAUGGGGCACACAUAAUUCUAGGAUGUUUAACAGUGUAGUGAAAAUUAUUUUUUAAAAUAUUUUUUGUUUAAAAAUAUAUUAAAAUAAUAUUUUUUUUAUGUUUUAAAAUUUAUUUUUGAUAUUAGUAUAUUAAAAUGAUCUAAAAACACAAAGAAAAAAAAUAAAUUUAAAGCAAAGAAAAAAAAUUUAAUUUCUCUAAAUAUACUUUUAAAAAAUAAAAACAAAUAUAUCCAAAUAAAAAAAAUUUAGGGAAACAUUAAAUUGUUUUUGGUUUUUUCAACGUGACAUCUUCUUAAACACACCGAAGACUUCAAAAGUCUGCCCAAAAGUAUUGAGCACGAAGUUUGACUGUAGUUGAGUUUUUUUGUAAUGUUUUUAUUUAAAAAUAUAUUAAAAUAAUAUUUUUUUAUUUUUAAAAAUUAAUUUUAACAUUAACAUAUUAAAAUAAUUUGAAAGCAAAAAAAAAUUAAUUUAAAAUAAAAUUUUUUUUUAAAAAAAUACUUUUGAAACUCAAAAAUAAAUAUAUCCAAAUAAUUUUUUUUUAUGGAAACAACAUAUUAAAUUAAAUAAGGCAUCUGAACUAUUAAAAUUAAUUUUUCCACGUGAUAUUAGUUGGAAUUUUUUUUUUUAUCGUUAUCUCUCUUUCCUUUGUGUUUAUGAAGUAUUAUUAGUUACACUUUAAGUAUUAUAAAAUAAUAAAAAAUAAAAGAAAUUAUAUCCAUCGACCUUGACUUAUAUAUCCAAUAUAAUGACUUAAUUUUAAAUUUUCUUAUUGUUAUCUUGAAGAAAAAGAAAAAAGAGAAUACAAGUCAACUUAAAAUUUAUUUAAAAAGGUAAUGAUUUCUCAGAAAUCAGAAUUACAAGAACCCAACAAAAAUGCUUUUUUUGCUUCAUUUUCAUAGCGAUAAUAAUGCCCAAAAACUAUGUUUUAAUUAUUGUGCUUGUAUUGUUGCACAUCCCUUUUCCUGGAUUCAUUACAGGGGCAACAGGGGGGGAAAUUGGGUGCAUUGAGCGGGAGAGACAAGCACUUCUUAAGUUUAAAGAAGAUAUUAUUGAUGAAGAUGGUGUUCUUUCUUCUUGGGGGGGUGAAGAAGAGAAAAGAGAUUGCUGCAAGUGGAGAGGAGUUGGCUGUGACAACAUAACUGGUCAUGUUACUUCACUUAAUCUUCAUUCCUCACCUUUGUAUGAGCAUCAUUUUACGCCUCUAACAGGCAAGGUUAGUAAUUCAUUACUUGAGUUGCAGCAUUUGAAUUACUUGGACCUGAGUUUGAAUAAUCUUGAUGAGAGUAUCAUGGAUUUCAUUGGCUCCCUAAGCAGCCUAAGAUACCUGAACCUCUCCUACAACCUUUUCACUGUAACUAUCCCAUAUCACCUCAAGAACCUCUCAAGAUUGCAGUCUCUUGAUCUCAGCUAUAGUUUUGAUGCCAGUGUUGAAAAUCUUGGCUGGCUUUCUCAUCUUUCUUCUUUGGAGCAUCUUGAUUUGAGUGGUUCCGACCUGAGCAAGGUAAAUGACUGGCUGCAAGUGGUCACAAACCUCCCUCGCCUAAAAGACUUGCGAUUAAAUCAGUGUAGUCUUACGGAUAUAAUUCCUUCACCUCUUUCUUUCAUGAACUCUUCUAAAUUUCUUGCUGUACUCCAUCUCUCUAAUAACAAUCUUUCUUCUGCAAUAUACCCCUGGCUGUAUAACUUAAGUAACAGCCUUGCUGACCUUGACCUUUCUGGUAACCAGUUACAAGGUUUGGUUCCAGAUGGCUUCAGAAAGAUGAGUGCUCUUACAAAUCUUGUUCUAUCCCGUAAUCAGCUUGAAGGUGGCAUUCCAAGAUCUCUUGGGGAGAUGUGCAGCUUGCAUACGCUAGAUUUGUGCCACAACAAUCUCACCGGGGAGCUUUCUGAUCUCACUCGGAACUUAUAUGGACGCACAGAGAGCUCGCUGGAGAUUUUAAGAUUAUGCCAGAAUCAGCUCCGUGGUUCAUUGACUGAUAUUGCUAGAUUUUCUUCCUUGAGAGAAUUAGAUAUCUCGAAUAAUCAACUGAAUGGGUCUAUACUAGAAAGUAUUGGAUUCCUUUCCAAGCUUGACUAUUUCGAUGUUUCUUUUAAUUCUUUGCAAGGUUUGGUGUCUGGCGGACAUUUUUCUAAUCUCUCCAAAUUAAAGCACUUGGAUUUGUCUUAUAAUUCCUUAGUUUUGAGAUUCAAAUCCGAUUGGGACCCUGCUUUUCAAUUGAAAAACAUUCAUCUUAGUUCAUGCCACUUGGGGCCUUGUUUCCCAAAAUGGCUGCGAACUCAGAUAAAAGUCCGUUUGCUAGAUAUCUCCAGUGCUAGUAUUUCAGAUACCGUCCCUAAUUGGUUUUGGAACCUACUGCCUAAGUUGGCUUUCUUAAACAUAUCUCACAACUUGAUGAGGGGAACACUGCCAGAUUUUUCAUCAGUAGAUGCAGUUGAUGAUACAUUCCCUGGGUUUGAUUUGAGUUUUAAUCGGUUUGAGGGUCUACUGCCAGCUUUUCCUUUUAACACAGCCUCAUUGAUUCUUUCUAACAAUUUGUUUUCAGGGCCAAUUUCUCUUAUAUGCAAUAUUGUAGGCAAGGCUUUGAGCUUCCUUGAUCUGUCAAACAAUCUGUUAACCGGACAACUUCCAAAUUGUUUCAUGAAUUGGAGCACACUCGUUGUUCUGAAUUUGGCUAACAACAAUUUGUCAGGUGAAAUUCCAAGCUCUGUUGGAUCAUUGUUUUCCCUUCAAACAUUGAGUUUAAACAAAAAUAGCCUCUAUGGAGAAUUGCCUAUGUCUUUAAAAAACUGUAGCAUGUUGAAAUUCUUGGACCUUAGUAGAAACCAAUUAUCCGGAGAAAUACCAGCUUGGAUAGGAGAAAGCCUCUCAUCUUUGAUGUUCCUUUCCCUUAAAUCUAAUGAAUUCAUUGGAAGCAUCCCACUACAUCUUUGUCAGCUAACAAAUCUUAGGAUCUUGGACCUCUCCCAAAACACCAUCUCUGGAGCCAUACCAAAGUGUCUCAACAAUCUAACUACUAUGGUUCUGAAAGGAGAAGCAGAGACUAUCAUUGACAAUCUUUACUUGACUUCUAUGAGAUGUGGAGCAAUUUUUUCUGGACGCUACUAUAUCAAUAAGGCAUGGGUUGGAUGGAAAGGAAGAGAUUAUGAGUAUGAGAGAUACCUUGGACUGCUGCGUGUCAUUGAUUUUGCAGGCAACAAUUUAUCUGGAGAAAUUCCAGAGGAAAUAACUGGCCUGCUUGGGUUGGUUGCUCUGAAUUUGUCAAGAAAUAAUUUGACUGGAGUAAUCCCCCAAACAAUUGGGCUGUUGAAAUCGUUAGAAUCUCUUGAUUUGUCAGGAAAUCAGUUCUCUGGUGCAAUUCCAGUCACAAUGGGCGAUCUGAAUUUUCUGAGUUACUUGAAUGUCUCCUACAACAACUUGUCUGGGCAAAUCCCAUCAAGCACUCAGCUUCAGAGCUUUGAUGCUUCAGCUUUUAUUGGCAAUCCUGCUUUGUGUGGUCUACCAGUCACCAAUAAAUGCCUUGGAGGUGAUUUGCCUCGAAAUUUAGUGAUGAAUGGUGUGAUCCAAGACAAUCAAGAAACUGUUCAUGAGUUCAGUGCAUGGUUUUGUACUGCUAUGGGAAUUGGUUUUAGUGUAUUCUUUUGGGGAGUUUCAGGUGCUUUACUGCUCAUACGUUCCUGGAGACAUGCCUAUUUCCGGUUCUUGGAUGAAUCAUGGGACUGGCUCUAUGUGAAGGUAGCAGUGCGCAAGGCACGACUUCAACGAGAAUUUCAGAGGCUGCACGAGCACGUUCUUGCUUAGAAGGAUUGCAAGGUAACAUGGUUAUUCACACGUCUUUUCCUUUCUUUUUUUAAUGAAGACUAAUGGCCCGUUUUCGCGCUUUCCAUUUUAUACCAGGAGCUGCAGCUGGGUGCAUAACAGGUCCGCUUUGUCCAAGGAGUCCGUAUUUUUUGUGCACGUGUUUCUUGAGAUACAUCGUCGUGUUUGUACACCUGCUGGGUUUUAUGUGAAACUAUGAGAGUGAUUAUGUAAUAUAUUUUGGAAUCUCAAAGUUGGUUUUUAUAUGAAUUUCAUUUGGAAUGUUUUUGCAAAUAUUUAGUUCUUUACUUAACAGUGUGAAGAUGGAACACAUUCAUUCUCCAAAUAAAAAAAUUAUGCCAGUACGUACUUGCUUAUUUUGCUACAGAAUUUAAUUAAAAACACAUGUAAUUUACAUUUUUAUUUAUCUGCUUUUUUUGAAUUAUUGGCAUUAAAUCAAGCAAUUAGCAGGUAUUGAAAUUGAUGUUACUUCAAGCCUAUACAAGUAAUCACCGGAGGAAAUAAAAUUUCAGAGAAAUUUCUUCGAAGAUUAGUUCAAAAAUUAUAAAUGUGUCAAUGGUGAUUGUUGAAAAGUAUGCCCAGUCAUAUAAGAAAGGAGAAAAAAUUUCAAAGAAAUUCGCAUAUUGCUUUCUUCUUUGUUUUCGUCAUUUAAAUAUUUUUUUCAGUCAUUUAAAAGUAUGCCCAUAUCAAGUUUUUUUGGAUUUGAUUUAUUAAUUUAUUUUUGUUAACUUAAUUUGUAUGAGUUUCCGAUAAAAGGUAAUCCAUGUUUGAUUUUAAAAUUUGGAUAUCAGUUUAUCUCUAAGAAAGAAUGACUGAGGACAAACUGAAGCUCUGUUACUGUUGAAAAGAUAUAAAUGAGAUGAACUCAAUGAGACCUUAGAAGACCAUUAAAAGUGGCCAGAGUGACCACACGCCCACGCCCUGCUUAUAAAAGGAAAUUUCAUCAAAAUUGCUAAAAAUAGAGGUAAUCCAUUAAAAAGAAAUUAACGAAGGGGGACAAGAAAAAUCCAAGAAAUGAAAACAUUUUUUAAAACUAUUGAUGACUUUGACGAAGACUUGCAGCUCUUAUUAAUUUCCUUUCAGAAGACAUAUUUUUUUUAAAACAUACUGAUGACUUGGAAGUCUUUUCCCAGAAGCAAGGGGCACGCACAAGUAACACAAAAACAAAUAUAUCAAAAUAAAAAAGAAAUUUAGAAAAAACUGUAAAUAGUUUUUGUGUACGAGGUUAAGGCUAUAGAACACAUAGUUAAAUAAAUAAGGCAUCUAAACCAUUUAAAUUAUUUAUUUCUUAUGGCAUCUUCUUAAACACACAGAUGAUCUUUACCUAAAAAUAUGGGGCAUGCACAAUUCCUUCAGGACGUUUAAUAAUAUAGUAAAAAUUAUUUUUUAAAAUAUUUUUUAUUUAAAAAUAUAUUAAAAUAAUAUUUUUUUAUGUUUUAAAAAUUAUUAUUGAUAUUAGUAUAUUAAAAUGAUCUAAAAACACAAAUAAAAAAAAUAAAUUUAAAGCAAAGAAAAAAAAUUUAAUUUCUUUAAAAAUACUUUUAAAAGACAAAAAUAAAUAUAUCCAAAUAAAAAAAUUUAGAGAAACAUUAAAUUGUUUUUGGUUUUUUCCACGUGCCAUCUUCUUAAACACACCGAAUACUUGAAAAUCUUUGCCCAAAAGUAUCGAGCACGAAGCUUGACAGUGUAGCUGAGUUUCUUUUAAUUUUUUUAUUUAAAAAUAUAUUAAAAUAAUAUUUUUUAUUUUUAAAAAAUAAUUUUAACAUUAACCUAUUAAAAUAAUUUGAAAGCAAAAAAAUAUUAAUUUAAAAUUAAAAAAAUACUUUUUUAAAAAUACUUUUUGUCGCGCGUGAGCGACGUCGCGGCGAUCGUCCACCCUCGAAUGUGUGAUGGGAUAUAUAUAUCUGGUAAAUAAGGGGAGACAAGGAAUUCUUUGUCUCUUAGCAGUGAGAGAUGGUGUGGGAGUCGCCACCUAGUAUUUUGGUCACUAGGAACCCUAACUGGUCUCAGAGAUCGGGUACGGGGACUGGUUGCGUAAAGGGAAGGUAUUAGCACCCCAAAUACACCCUACCUAAGGUAAGCUGCAUUGUUUAUUUGUCUGAUAAAAUUCAAGGUCUCGUUGUGUUUCCUAGUUGUUGGGUCGUCCAUGGUUCAAGAAAAGUCCUCCUCAAUAAGGAGGUCCUUAUCUUAUCGAGUAAAACCUAACCGUUCUAAUGUCUAUGUAUGUUGGUCUGUCUAUGGUUCAAGAAAAGUCCUCCUCAAUAAGGAGGUCCUUAUCUUAUCGGGUAAAACCUAACCGUUCUAAUGUCUAUGUAAAAAAGCUAUAUUUUUAAUAUCAGGAAUACAUUUUACAUAUAAAUUCUUAAUCCCAAAUACUAAAAGAAGACAAAAAGAUUUUUUUAGAAUUUUUGAAAUAUUGGCCUAGUUCUCAUGGCUUGAAUAAACUGGUUAUUAAAGCCAAAAUGCAUGCUAAUACAUAUAUUGAUUUUUGAAAUUUCAUUUGUUGUGUGAAAAUAUGCUGUUAUAAUAUUUAUAUAUAUAUAUAUUGGAGAGACUAGGCCGUAUGCAUGAAAACAAAACAUUUUUUUUUUGUAAUUAUGUAUUUUUUGAUGUUUUGACGCAAAUUGGGUAUUUUAAUACUGGGUUUGUAUUCUUACAGUAUAAAAAUAUGAACCAGUAUUGAUCAAAAUACAGUAAUAAAAUUACAACAAAAUCACAUAUUUUUUGAAAUAAUUUUUGAAGAAUUUUUAAAUUUUUUUUUUUUUUUUGGGCCGGACCUAGCUCGGCCCAUGUGGCUGGGCUGAACCCAGCAGGCCUUACCAGGUCGUGAAUUAUAUUUCACGUGAACAGUGAAAUAGCAUUUCACUGUUCACGUGAAUUAUAUUUGACAUGAACAGUGAAAUAGCAUUUCACUGUUCAAGUGAAUUAUAUUUCACUUGAACAGUGAAAUGCGAGAAAAUGGUCUGCACAGCGACGAGGAAGGGGACGAACCUGGUGGCGGAAACAAUGUUGAAGACGAUGGCGAACACUCCUAGUGAUGCAGAAACAAACCUGGUGGCGGAAACAAUGUCUUCCGGUGGUUCUGACGGUGGUUCCAAGCGGCAGCUUCUCCUCCUUUCUCCUCUGUUUCUGCUUUUCCUCUGUCUGUCUCUGUUUUUUUGCUUCUUCUGCUUCUUCUCACAGUACAGGGCUGUUAUCCAUUACGGGGAGGGAGGCAGCAGCUGGCAGUGGCUCUAGGGUGGCGCUGGCGGCGGCGGCCUGGGGAGCUGAUUCUGAAGAAGGAAAAGUCUAUGAUGAUGCUGGUCCCCUCGGCUGGUUCCUGGUUCUGAAGAAAGUUGAAGUUGAUGAUGGUGGUGGUUUUGCUGGUGGUUUCUGACCGAAGGUUGGCUCUUCCUCUUCUCUACUGCUUUCUGUGUUAUUUCUCCUCUCCUCUCUCUCCUCUCUUUUUUUCUUCCUCUCUCUCUAUUUAUAGGAAAAAAUGGAGCAGGUGCGCCUUCAAUCACGCAACGGCUGGUCGGCCAGUGACCCGUUCGGUGGUCUAAAGGUGUGGGGCUUCGAUGGGGACGAGGAGAGAGAGGCGGGACGGUUUUUGAAAAUGGUUUUUGUCUUCUGUUGUUGUUCAACGGGGGAAGGAGGAAGAUGAACAGUGUCGUUCAAAACGACACCGUUCUGGCCGUUUCAUUUAAAUGAGCCAAACUUCAAAUCAGUCCUCUAUCAUUUCUUGUUCAUUUCAAUUGUAUCCCUGCCAAAUUUGAUCUCCGCCCCCAUAGUUGGCCGCGUUUUUCACUUUAGUCCUUGGCCUCUGAUUUAUGCAAUUAAGCCCUCAAUUGAUCAAUAAACUUCCAAUUUCUUCAAUUAGGCCCCUGAACCAAAGUAAAACAGCCCCCUCUAUUUACCUGGUUUUUCCAAAUUGGUCCCUGGUUUCGGUUUUUUCAAUUAAACCCCUAAUUGGUCAUUAAACUUCAAUAUUUAUUCAAUUAAACCCCUGAUUUGACCCAAUAAAUUCCUAAAAACUAUAUUUUGGCCCCAGAACUUAAAUUUCUUUCAAUUAAAGCCUAAAUUGACUUAAAAAUCAAUUUUCUUGCAAUCAAAUCCCCUAUAAAAUCAAUUAAAAAUCCAAUUAAGUCUAUAAACAUCCAAACUUGGGCUUUUCUCCUAAAAAUUCAAAUUUUUCUUGUCAACAGGGCUCUCCUCCUUCAAGAAUAUAUUAUCAAAAAUUCCAUCUUUGUAUUUUUAACCUCAUUGACCAAUUUUCCAACCAUUUUCUGAGCGCUUCUGCCUCCUGUUAUUUUUCUAACCUCCUUUGGCUAUAUAUUUUUAUAUAUAUUUUGUGGGGACCCAAAAAUGGGUUACAACACUUUUGAAACUCAAAAAUAAUUAUAUCCAAAUAAAUUAUUUUUUAUGGAAACAACAUAUUAAAUUAAAUAAGGCAUCUGAACUAUUAAAAUUAAUUUUUCCACGUGAUAUUAGUUGGAAUUUUGUUUUUAUUAUUAUCUCUCUUUCCUUUGUGUUUGUGGAAGUAUUAUUAGUUACACUUUAAGUAUUAUAAAAUAAUAAAAAAUAAAAGAAAUUAUAUCCAUCGACCUUGACUUAUACAAUAUAAUGAUUUAAUUUUAAAUUUUCUUAUAGUGUUUAUCCAACUGCAUCUACAAGGAAAAUAAAUGGAAGUUAUGGUAAAAUUAGAGAAUUGCCGGUAUAAAAAUGUUGAGGUGCCGUUCUGAAAGUUUAUCGGGCUCGUCUUUUCCACUGCCUCCGAACUCAAGCAGAACAUCUAAGAAAUCCUUCCUCGAAUCACUUUCUUAUUCUCCACCCUCUCCUUGACAAACUUUGAAGCAGUCUCCAUGGCCUUCCCAAGAUCUCUCUCCAAGUGCAGGUCUGCCCAGACAAUAAUUUCCAUUCAGGAAGACAUUUUUUUUAACACAGUACUGAUGACUUGGAAGUCUUUUCCCAGAAGUAAGGGGCACGCACAAGUAAAUGUCGGAAGAAAUUUAGAGAAACAGCAAAUGGUUUUCGCGUAUACAUUGUAUCAGUAGAUUUUCUAUAUAUGAGGUUCAGGCUUCAGACCACACUAAAUCAAAAAACUCAUACAAUGUCUUUGAGCAAUGUACGUAUAAUUAUACAAUGUCUUUUAAAAAAAAUACUUUUACACCACAGAAACACAUGGUUGAAAGAAAGGAAUGAGAAAACGUGGGGGUUAUUGAUGACUUUGAGCAAGACUGAAGCCCUAAAUAAUUUCCAUUGAUGAUCAAGGCAAGCACUUCACAUGGAAGUGCUGAUUUCUUAGAUGUCAACGGAAAUGUCUAGGAAGAUGAGGUAUCUUCUUAAAUACACUGAUGACCUGAAAAGUAUUAAUCUAAAAGUACGAGGCAUGCACAAUUAAAAAAUGUUUAGCGGUGAGUAGAGAAUGUUUUUUUUAAAAAAAUAUAUUAAAAUAAUAUUUUUUAUUUUUAAAAAAUUAUUUUUGAUAUUAAUAUAUCAAAUAAUUUGAAAACAUCAAGAAAAAAAUAAUUUAAAGCAAAAAAAAAUUAUUUUUUUAAAAAAAUACUCUUGAAAUACAAAAAUAAAUAUAUUAAAAUAAAUGUUUUUUAGAAAAUAAUAAAUGAUUUUCAUGUAUGAGGUUAAGGCUAUAAAUCACAUAAUAAGAUAAAUAAGGAAUCAGAAUCAUUGAAUUUUUUUCAUGUGGCAUCUUCUUAAACACAUUGAUGACUUGAAAAGUUUUUGCCCAAAGCAUGGGGUAUGCAUAAUUAGAGGAUGUUUAAGAAAUUGAUUUUUAAAAUAUUUUUUAUUUAGAAAUAUUUAAAAAUAAUAAUUUUUUAUUUUUAAAAAAUUAUUUUUGAUAUUAACACAUUGAUUUGAAAGCAUCAAAGAAAAAUUAAUUUAAAGCAAAGAAAAAAAAUUUAAUUUUUUUUAAAAAUACUUUUAAAACAUAAAAAUAAAUAUAUCUAAAUAAAAGCUUUUAAAGAAACGAUAAAUGGUUUUUGCCUAUGAAGUUAAGGCUAUAAACCACAUAAUAAGAUAAAUAAGGCAUGUCAACCAUUGAAAUUAUUUUUUUUCACAUGACAUCUUCUUAAACACUGAUGACUUGAAAAGUAUUUGUUCAAAAACAUGAGGCAUGCAUAAUUAGAUGAUGUUUAGCAGUAUAGUAGAAAUUAUUUUUUAAAUAAUUAUUUAUUUAAAAAUAUAUUAAAAUAAUAAUUUCACAGAAAGUGCUGAUCUUCUUAGAUAUCGAUAUCAAUGGAAAUAACUAGGAAGCUGAGGCAUAUUUCUUUGAAAAAAAUACUUGUACACCACAGAAACACAUGGUUGAAAGAAAGGAAUGAGAAAACGCGUGGGAUAUUUAAUUGGUGAAGAUGAAUUAAUUGGUGGGUCUGCCAUCUGCAUCAGCCUUUUCGCUUGUAAUAUAUAUUUAUAUUUAUAAUUUUUAAUCUUGAUAUUAGGGCUCCAAAGAGAGAAGAUGGCAAAGUCAAUUUAAUUGAAAAAGUUGUUUAUAACUUUAUGAUUUUCUUUUCACGUAGAUAUCAUAAAAUAAAGAGUUUUAAAGUCAAAGAUUACCAAAUAUAUUUACUAUGAAAAGGACCCAUUUAUUUAAAAGAAAAAAUAGUCCACUUUCCUACACUUAAACACUAAAUAAUAAAAAAAAAUUAAAAUGUUUUGCAAGGCCUGCCCCUGCUUGCCUCCCUCCUGAUUGUAUCACUAGAUUUUCUAGGAGGUUCAGGCUAGCCAUUAGAAUUUCUCAUCCAAAAAAAAAUUUAUAUAUGUAGGCCUUUUAAUAUAUUUUUAUAUAUACAAUUAUUUUUGACAUUAAUAUAUUAAUAUUAUCUAAAAAUAUAUAAUUAAUUAAAAAUAAAAAAAUUAAUAUUUUUUUUAAAUACUUUUACAUCACAGAAACACAUGCUUAAAAGAAAGGAAUGAGAAAACGUAUGGGCUAUUGAUGACUUUGAGCAAGACUGAAGCUCUAAAUAAUAUCCAUUGAGGAAGGCUUGCACUUUACAUUGAGGCUCUUAAUAAUUUCACGUGGAAGUGAUAAUUUUCUUAAACACACUGAUGACUUGAAAAAUUUGUGUUCAAAAAUAUUAUAGAACAUGGUAAUAUUUAAGAUAUUUUUGGAAAUAUAAUAUAAAUUAUGUUUUUAAAAAUUUUUAAUUUUUUUUUAAAAUAAAUCUUUUAUAUUUUUAAAUUAAUAUGCUGAUAUUAAAAAUAACUUUUUAAAAAUAAAAAAAUUUUAUUUUAACCUAUUGUAAAUCACAAGCGCGACCACUAUCCCUAACAAACCUUCAUCAAUAGUCAAAUCAAUAUCCAUGACCAUUUUUUUCAUUCCAGCUCCCUCAAGUUUUUAAUCCUUUCUCUGCUUUGGUCAAUAAAUCUUAUUUUUUUAUUUUAUUUUUCUGCUAUGACGUUUAAAUUAUUUCACUACUUGUAAUACAUGAGAGAUACGACAGAAGAGUGAGAAAUAACAAAAAAAAAAAGUUUGAAUCUUUUUUUAUUUUUUCUCUUUCCUUGAUGUUUAUGGAAGUAUUAUUAGUUACACUUUAAGUAUUAUAAAAUAAUAAUAAUAAAAAUUAUAUCCAUCGACCUUGACUUAUAUAAUUAAUGACUUAAUUUUAAAUUUUCUUGCAGUGUUUUUAAUAUUAUAUAUAGGGAAGUUGUGAAGUGAUAUACCCACUUCGAUAUUCAAAGUUAAAUUACCCACCAAAUUCUCAUUGCUCUCAAUUAUUACUUCCAUACCCACUUCGAUAUUAUCUUUUCUUUUGUGAUCAUGCUGCCGAUAAAGCACGACAAGUCGUUUCAUCAUCUUUAUGUGCUUAUUGUGCUUCUGUUGCUCAUGAAACUUGCACCUGGGUUCAUUUCUGGAGUGAAAGGGGCAACUUUCGGGUGCAUAGAGAGGGAGAGACAAGCCCUUCUCAAGUUUAAAGAAGACCUUAUUGAUGACUUUGGUCUUCUUUCAACCUGGGGAAGUGAAGAAGAGAAGAGGGAUUGCUGCAAAUGGAGGGGAGUUGGAUGCAACAAUCGAACUGGUCAUGUUACUCAUCUCGAUCUUCACUGGGAGAAAAGCGGCAAGUAUUUAACUGGUAAGAUCAGUAAUUCAUUACUGGAGUUGCAGUAUUUGAGUCACCUGAAUCUAAGUGGAAGCCAUUUUCAGUAUCCAAGUUUCGUGAAUACAAGGGGAAGCGAUUUUCCAGGGAGUCCUUUUGAAGGGAGUACUUUUCCAUAUUUCAUUGGAUCUCUAAAAAAACUAAGAUACCUUGAUCUCUCCUUUACCGGUGUUGUUGGAACUCAGCUUUGGAAUCUCUCAAGAUUACAGAAUAUUUUGACUUGAGUAGAAACAACCUCAGUCAAGCUACUGACUGGAUGGAAAUGGUUAACAAGGUCCCUUUUUUAAAAGUCUUACGGUUAAGUGGAUGUGAUCUUUCAAAUAGCAGUCUUCCCUCUCUUUCUUUUACGAAUUCUUCUAAAUCCCUAGCUGUCAUUGAUCUCUCUUACAACAAUAUUGCUUCUUCAACAUUCAAUUGGUUGUCCAAAUUUAGUAACAGCCUUGUUGAUCUUGAUGUUAGUUGGAAUUGGGUUGAUGUUAAUAGGAAUUGGGAUAACAGUUCUGAAAACCUUGAUUGGCUUUCCUAUCUUUCUUCAUUCUCCGGGUGAAAAUCAAGAUCAGUAACAUGACCAGUUCGAUUGUUGCAUCCAACUCCUUUCUAUUUGCAGCAAUCCCUCUUCUCUUCUACGCUCCCCAAGUUGAAAGAUUGGCGCCCAUUUACAUAUAGAAUUCCUUCUGCAUGGAAAUGGCAAAGUGCUAUUUUAAUGGGCCGUAGGCUGGCCAACCUGCAAUGGUUGAGCCGAGUCUAGCCCAAAUCUUUUUAAAAAAACAACAAAAAUCAAAUUUAUUAAGCCAAUCUCGGGCCAACCUUUUUUGGGGGUUGAAUUCAGCACUACAAGAAUGGGCUCCACCUAGUCAUCUAGGCCGCUUAGCCUACAUAUUUAAUAUUAUUUAAUUAUAAUAAUAUAAUAUUAUAUUUAUAAAAAAUAAAAACAAAUUCAAAAAAAAUUUCAAGGGGCAUUUUAAAAUAUUUUUUAUUUUCUCGCGUGUUUUUCUACCAAUUUUACUUAAUAUUGAGUUAUAUUUUUACAUUGUAAGAUACAAAUUUGAUAUUAAAAUACCUGAUUUUCUCCAAAAUCUCUCUAAAAAAUUCAAAAACAAAUAUCAAAACUUUUAAAUUAAUUUCCCUUUUAAAAAAAGAAAAAAAUAUUUUGUUUUCAUGCAUACGGCCAAAUCCUAAAAUUUUUUCAAGCAUAUUUUAAUGAAAAAACAAAAAUUGCAUCGUUCUUAUAUUUUAAAAUACAAAAUGAAUAUCGUAAUCAUUUUAUGAUUAUCCAUUAAGGUUUGACUAAAAUGUCAAAAACCCUUUACCAAUAAUUUUUUAUUAGGGUCUAGGUGUAAACUUUACUAUAUGUGGGGUGUAAAACUACAUAAUAGAGUAAACCCUCAUGUAUUAAAGAUACAAGGUGUGAAAUAAAUGCGAUACUAAAUUUUGAACUUUUGAACACUUAGAAUUAAACCUAACGAAGUAGAAACUAUUUCACAUAGAGAGAUUUGUCUUAGACUUUAGAAAAGACCAACGAAUAUAAACCCGACCUAAAAAAACAAUCAAACAACAAUGCUACUUACCUUAGAUAGGUGGGGUGAUGCGUCUUCUCCUUGCAUAACCAGUCCUUUACUCAGGCUAUUAUAAACCAUAGGUUCCUAAUAACCAUAAUACUAGGUGAUGACUCCUGAAUCUUAAUCAUAAUCUUAUGAGUAAACCUAAACCCAUUUCCUUUCCCAACACACACCUCUCAGGAGGCACGAAAAGCUCGUCAGCGGCAUCGACAUCGCACCUGCGACACAGUAUACUUGCAAAGGGUUGCUAGACCCAAACUGCUCUACGACACACAAUAUACUUGCACAGGGUUGCAAGACCCAAACUGCUAGGGUCUGGUAACCGUGCCAGAUCCAUGCUCCUAUUUUUAUAAAUAUAGAAAUUUACUUAUAAUUAUUCUAAAAAUAUACUUAUUUUGUAUUUUCAUCUGUCUUUUUAACCAAAAAUAUUUUUAUUUUUUCUAUAUUUCUUUCUUCUAUUUUGGGAUAUUAACCACACACAUCCCUAAAAUUCACUCAAUUUUUUUUAUUAAUCUCUAACUUUAGUGAAGAAAUCAUCUACAAAAUUACACAAAUUAAGAUAAUCCAAAGGACAGUAAGUCUUUUACAUAUACAAUGUUUUCUUUUUCUACAACAUAAUGUAUCAAUUCAAAAGUUCUCUUAUGAUCAUAUAUUUCAAAAUUUUGCAUAUAUUAAUAGUUAUAAUGUAGAAUAAACUCUCAUUGUAACAAGCUUUGACAAUUAAAUCAUGCAACAACAUCUCAAAUUUUAAAAAAAGCAUGAAUCUUUUAAAAAACCGUCCAACAUUUGGAUGGAAACAUAAAAUGAAUAUUUUACAUAUACAAUGUUUUCUUUUUCUACAACAUAAUGUAUCAAUUCAAAAGUUCAAAUGUUUUCUCUUAUGAUCAUAUAUUUCAAAAUUUUGCAUAUAUUAAUAGUUAUAAUAUAGAAUAAACUCUCAUUGUAACAAACUUUGACAAUUAAAUCAUGCAACAUCUCAAAUUUAAAAAAAAACAUGAAUUUUUUAAAAAACUGUCCAACAUUUGGAUGGAAACAUAAAAUGAAUAUUUUCAUCCACAAUGCAUACAAAAAAGAGAAGUUUAUUUUUGAAGACUUGAAAUAAAUCACUCUGAAAUCAACUUUUUUUUUUUUUGCAUUCUGUCCUCUUCGAAUAUAAAAAAUUUAUAAAAUAAGUUGCAAAAAAAAAAAGAGUUCGUAGUUAAGUUCUACUGCAUAUGAAUGAAAAUUCAUGGUUGAAUGAGGCAGUGCUUGAUUUUGCAGUCCAUUCAUGCUUUUGAAAUUUUUAAAAUUUUUUGACCUAUGCACAUGAGUCUGACAUUGUUGCUAGAUCCAGACGCGAGUCUGGCAACAAUGUUAGACCCAAACAUGGUUGCUAGACCCAAAUAUGGUUGCCAGACCAAGGCGCUUGGGCCUGACGUCUUUGUCAGACCCAAGGCGUUUGGGUCUAGAAUGGUUGAUAGACCCAAGACUCUUGAGUCUUGAAUGGUUGAUAAUGCUUCUGGCGUGGUUGCGGCAACCAAGCCAGACCCAAGAUGCUAAAGUGGUAGAGAAAAAGCAAUGAUUGAGAAGAAAAAAAAAGCAAAGAAACGUCUCACAAAAAGAUAAGAAAUUGAAAAUGAAACUACUAUUACAAUCCGCAGUAAAAAGUCUCUUAAUCUACAGUGAUUUCCCAGACCAUUUAGUUUUUGUUAUAAUUAAUUUUCCUAAAAGAUGCUAGAAGGUUUUUUUUUUUUUUUAAAUAAUGGUUUCUUAAUUAUUUUUAUUCUUGUUUAGUUUAGAAAAAUUUUCUUUUAUUUAUAGUAUUUUUAUUUUUUCCCAUUUAAUUAAAAAUUUUGUUCUUUCUUAUUUAAUUUAGUCAUAAGACUAGUAUAAAUAGCAUUGUUUAGUUUAUAUUUUAUAAGACUGCCUAAAAAGAAAAUAUUAAGUAAUAAAAUUUUAAAUUAGGAUUUUGAUGUGUUGAAUAGUCAUGGAUGAAAGAUAUAAUAGAAUAGGAUGUAAUCUUGUAGGGAGGGAGUAGAAUGUUCUCUCUCGAGGGAAAAGACGUUCAAGAAUUGAUGAUGGAAGACAUACAAAUUAAAGACAAGUUGCAAAAUGGACUAUCAGUUAGUGAUGAUAAAUUUAAUUACAGAGAUAAGUUAAAGAAUUAUAACAUCAACUAAACAGGAUAUAAAAAAAAAAAAAAAAAAGAUUGAAUGAUCAUGAGAAUAGUAAUCAUGAAUUCGUAAUUAAUUUUAAGAACUUGUUUUAAAAGCAUAAGUAGACGAGACAAUUUCUUAACAAAGAAGAUGCCUCAGCUUCUUAGUCCAAACCAUCGACAUCUAAGAAGAUCAGCACAUCCAUGUGAAGUGCAUGUCUUCCUGAAUGGAAAUUAAGAGCUCUUCAGGUAGUGGUAAUAGCUCAUACGUUUUCUCAUUCCUUUCUUUGACUGACGUUCUCUUCCAAGUCAACUUAUGUUUGUUUAACUCAUAAUCAUUUUGGUCUUUUUUUUUAAAUUCAUUUUGCACAUCAACUUGUGUUCUCAAAGAAAUUAGAGUCACCUUUGGUCUUUUUUUAAUUCAUUUUCCAUGGAAGCUGAAUAUAUUUCUUCAUUUUUCUUGCCCCACUUCGUUUCUUUUUAAUUGUCCUUGUGAUACGUUGUUUCCAACUGAAAAAUACUUUAAAUUGCUUUUAAAGCAGUCGUUGAUGUCUACAGUGCAACUCCACUUAACCCACACUUCUUCUCAUUCCUUUCUUUGGCGGACAUCCUCCUCUUCCACAUCAACUUGUGUUACGGGGGAGAGACAUUAGAGUCAUAUCGGUCUUUUUUAAUUCAUUUUCCAUUGAAGCUAAACCGAUUUCUUGAUUUUUCUUGCCCGGCUUUGUUCUUUUUGUAUAGCAGUCGUUAAUGUCUACAGUGCAACUCUCCACUUACUCACUUUUUCUCGUUCGUUUCUUUGGCGGACAUCCUCUUCCACAUCAACUUGUGUUACGGGGGAGAGACAUUAGAGUCAUAUCGGUCUUUUUUAAUUCAUUUUCCAUUGAAGCUAAACCGAUUUCUUGAUUUUUCUUGCCCGGCUUUGUUCUUUUUGUAUAGCAGUCGUUAAUGGCCACAGUGCAACUCCACUUACUCACCUUUUCUCGUUCCUUUCUUUGGCCGACAUCCUCUUCCAAUAACUCAUAGUCAUUUAAAAUGACUCAUUUUUGUCCUUUUUUUAAACUCAUUUUCUGUGGAAGCUGAAUCUAUUAAUUAGAUUUGUUUCUUUUUAAUUGCAUUUGUUGUGUCUGUUGUUUCCAACCGCGAAACACCUUAAAUUGCUUUCGUAGCGGUCAUUAACGGCUACAAUACAACUCAUCUUAAUUUAUUUGUUUUUAUGUUUUGAAAGUAUUUUAGAAAAAAAUUAAAUUAAAUUUUAUUUUUUAUUUUAAAUUAAUUGUUUUUAAUAUUUUUAAAUUAUUUUAAUAUAAUAAUGUUAAAAAUAAAAAAUAUAUUUUUGAAAACAACAAUACCACUUAAUCUCAAGUGGUGAUAUUCUUGGAUGUUGAUAGAAAUGACUACGAAGCUGAGGCAUUAUACAAGUUGAGGCAUCUUCUUAAUCACAAUGAUGACUUGAAAGUUUUUAAUCCUUAAUUUCUCUGCUUUGAUCAAUAUAUCUUAUUUUUUAUUUUAUUUUUCUGCUAUGAUGUUGAAAUUAUACCACUACUUGUAAUACACAAGAGAUAUACACAAAUAAUAGAGACAGAAGAGUGAGAAUUAAAAACAAAGUCAGAAUUUUCUUAUUGAUUUUCUCUCUUUCAAUUCCUUUGUGUUUAUUAGGGGUGAUCAUUUUCGGUUCGGUUCGGUUUUUAUCAAAAAAAGUAACCAAACCGAAAUUUUUUUUUUUGAAAAAAAAACCGAAACCGAACCGAAACCGGGUCAAACCGGCCGGUUUCGGUUCGGUUUUUUUAGGGCAAAAACCGGUUCAAACCGAUUUGGCUCGGUUUUUCCGGUUUUGGCUCGGUUUUUUCCGGUUUAGCUCGGUUUUUCCGGUUUGGCUCGGUUUUGGCUCGGUUUUUCCGGAUUGGCUUGGUUUGGCUCGGUUUUUUUUCCGGUUUUUUGUUGGUUUCGGUUCGGUUCGGUUUUUUGUUUAUAAAACCGAAACCGAACCGAACCGGCCGGUUUUUUCAAAAAAUUAAUCGGUUUAAUCGGUUUUUUUUUUCGGUUCGGUUUUUUCGGUUAAUUUUUUUCCGGUUUUCUCGGUUUAAUCGGUUUUCCGGUUUUUUUGCUCACCCCUAGUGUUUAUAUAAAAAUAUUAUUAAUUAUACUUCAAGUAUUAUAAAAUAAUAAAAAAUAAAAGACACUAUAUCCAUCGAUCGACCUUGACUUAUAUAAUUAAUGACUUAAUUUUAAAUUUUCUUACAAUGUCUAUAUGGAAGUUGUGAAGUGAAUGGAUCCCCUGUGUGUUUAAGAAGAUGCCACAUGAAAAAAAUAAUUUUAAUGGUUCAGAUGCCUUAUUUAUCUUAUUAGAUUCUCUAUGAGUUUCAUGCUACAGACCACGCUAGCCAUUAGAAUCUCUCAUCCAAAAAUAAUUAUACGUGUAGGUUUUUUAAUGUAUUUUUAUACAUAAUUUUUUUAAUAUUAAUAUAUUAAAAUAAUCUAAAAACAUAUAAAUAAAUAAAUAAAAUUCAAUUUCUUUCUGAAAUACUUUUACACCACAGAAACCCACGGAAAAGGAAUGAGAAAACGUGUGGGCUAUUGAUGACUUUGAGAAAGACUGAAGCUCUAAAUAAUUUCCUUUGAGGAAGGCUUGCAGUACUUCACAUGCAAGCUGAGGCAUCUUCUUAAACACACUGAAAACUUUUAAAAAAAAAAAAUUAUUUAAAAGUAUAGGGAACGGACACUUAGAGGAUAUUUAUCUAGUGAAAUAGAGAUUGUUUUUUAAAAUGUAUUUUUUUUAAUAUAUUAAAAUAAUAUUUUUUUAAAAGUAUUUUUAAUAUUAGUACAUCAAAAUUAUCUAAAAACAUUAAAGAAAAAUUAAUUUAAAAUGAAAAAAAAUUUAAAAUAUUUUAAAAAAAUAAAAAUAAAUAUAUGAAAAAAAAACUAUAGGGAAAAAUUAAUAGUGUUUUGCGGUUAAGGCUAUAUACCACAUAAUAAGAUAAAUAAGGUUUCUGAAUAAUUAAAAUUAUUUUUUUUACGUGGCAUUUUUUUAAAUACACUACUGACCUAAUAAAAGAGUGAGAAAACAAAUCUAACACUUUCAGUUUUAUAAAAUAAUAAUAAUAAUAAUAAAAGAAAUUAUAUCCAUCGACCUUGACUUAUACAAUUAAUGAUUUAAUUUUAAAUUUUCUUAUAGUGUUUUUGAUAUUAUAAAUAGGGAAGUUGUGAAGUGAAUGGAUUCAAAGUUAAAUACCCGCCAAAUUCUCAUUGCUCUCAAUUAUUACUUCCAUACCCAAUUCGAUAUUAUCUUUUUUUGUGAUCACGCUGCUGAUAAAGCACGACAAGUCGUUUCAUCAUCUUUAUGUGCUCGUUGUGCUUCUGUUGCUCAUGAAACUUGCACCUGGGUUCAUUUCUGGAGUGAAAGGGGCAACUUUCGGGUGCAUAGAGAGGGAGAGACAAGCCCUUCUCAAGUUUAAAGAAGACCUUAUUGAUAACUUUGGUCUUCUUUCAACAUGGGGAAGUGAAGAAGAGAAGAGGGAUUGCUGCAAAUGGAGAGGAGUUGGUUGCAACAAUCGCACUGGUCAUGUUACUCAUCUUGAUCUUCAUCGGGAGAAUGAAUAUUUAGCAGGUAAGAUCAGUAAUUCAUUACUGGAGUUGCAGCAUUUGAGUUACAUGAGUUUAAGAGGAAGCUAUUUUCGGUAUCCAAGUCUCGUGAAUCCUGGAAGCGAUUUUCAAGGGAGUUCGUUUGAAGGGAUUCCUUUUCCAUAUUUUAUUGGGUCUCUAGAAAGUCUAAGAUAUCUUGAUCUCUCUUCUAUGAAUAUUAUGGGUACUCUCUCAAAUCAGUUUUGGAAUCUCUCAAGAUUACAGUAUCUUAAUCUUAGUGAUAAUUAUAAUAUUAAUUUUAAAAGUCUUGACUUUCUCAAUAAUUUAUUUUUUCUUGAAUAUCUUGACAUAAGUAGAAACAAUCUCAAUCAAGCUAUUGAUUGGAUGGAAAUGGUUAACAAGGUCCCUUUUUUAAAAGUCUUACAGUUAAGUGGAUGUCAACUUUCAAAUAUCAAUCCUCCCUCUCUUUUUUUUAUGAAUUCUUCUAAAUUCCUAGCUGUCAUUGAUCUCUCUAAUAACUAUCUUGUUUCUUCAACAUUCAAUUGGUUAUCCAACUUUAGUAACAGCCUUGUUGAUCUGGAUGUUAGUGGGAAUUGGGAUAACAGUUCUAAAAACCUCGAUUGGCUUUCCUAUCUUUUUUCUUUAGAGCAUCUUGACCUGAGUCGCAAUAAGAACCUUAGUAUUGACUGGCUGCAAUUGCCUAACAGGCUCCCUCGCUUACAUGAAUUGUUGUUAAGUUCUUGUAGCCUUUCAAUUAUCGGUUCUCCAUCUCUUUCUCUUGUAAACUCCUCUAAAUCUCUGCUAUCGUUGAUUUCUCUUUCAACGAUCUUUCCUCUUCAAUAUUCUAUUGGUUGGCCAACUUCGGUAUCAGCCUUGUUGAUCUUGACCUCUCAUUUAACCAUUUACAAGGUUCAAUUCCAGAUGCUUUCACAAACAUGACUUCUCUUAGGACUCUUGAUCUAUCCUGUAACCAAUUACAGGGCUCAAAUCCAGAAGCUUUCGCAAACAUGAUUUCUCUUAGGACUCUUCAUCUAUCCUCUAACCAAUUACAAGGCGAUUUGAGUUCAUUUGGGCAGAUGUGCAGUUUAAAUAAACUGUAUAUAAGCGAAAACAGUCUCACUGGAGAGCUGUCUCGGUUGUUUCAAGACUUGCAUGGAUGCGUGGAGAACUCACUAGAGAUUCUACAACUAGACGAAAAUCAGCUUCAUGGUUCAGUGCCCGACAUCACAAGAUUCACUUCCAUGAGAGAGCUGGUUCUCUCUCGGAAUCAACUGAAUGGAUCUUUACCGAAACGAUUUAGUCAACGUUCUAAACUUGUUUUGUUGUACUUGGAUGACAACCAACUCACUGGAUCAGUUACGGAUGUUACGAUGCUUUCAUCAUUGAGAGAGUUGGUGAUUGCUAACAAUCGCUUAGAUGGGAAUGUUUCUGAAAGUAUUGGAGGCCUAUCUCAGCUCGAGAAAUUGGAUGCUGGAAGGAAUUCCCUACAAGGUGUGAUGUCUGAAGCUCACUUUUCAAAUCUCUCCAAAUUAACAGUAUUGGAUUUAACUGAUAAUUCCUUAGCUUUGAAAUUUGAGUCUAAUUGGGCUCCCACUUUUCAAUUAGAUGACAUAUUUCUUUCGUCUUGUAAUUUGGGUCCUCCUUUCCCUCAAUGGCUGCGAAAUCAAAAUAAUUUCAUAAAGCUAGAUAUCUCUGGUUCUGGAAUUUCAGAUACAAUCCCAAAUUGGUUUUGGAACUUGUCUAAUUCCAAGUUGCAACUCUUAAACCUUUCUCACAACAGGAUGUGUGGAAUUUUGCCAGAUUUCUCAUCAAAAUAUUCCAAUCUCCUACACAUAGAUUUGAGUUUCAACCAGUUUGAGGGUCGAUUACCACUUUUUUCAUCAGAUACCACAUCAACCUUGUUUCUCUCUAACAAUAAGUUUUCAGGUCCAGCUUCUUGUCCAUGUAAUAUUGGAAGUGGUAUCUUGAAGGUCCUUGACCUCUCAAAUAACCUGUUGAGGGGAUGGAUUCCUGAUUGUUUAAUGAAUUUCACAAGUCUAAGUGUUCUGAAUUUGGCUAGCAACAACUUUUCAGGUAAAAUUCUCAGCUCCAUUGGAUCAAUGGUCUAUCUUAAAACAUUGAGUUUGCAUAAUAAUAGCUUUGUUGGAGAAUUACCUUUGUCUUUGAGGAAUUGUAGUUCUCUAGCAUUUUUAGACCUGAGCUCAAAUAAGUUGCGAGGAGAAAUUCCAGGCUGGAUAGGAGAAAGCAUGCCAUCUCUGAAAGUCCUUUCCCUACGAUCUAAUGGAUUCAAUGGAAGCAUACUGCCAAAUCUUUGUCACCUAUCAAAUAUUCUGAUCUUGGACCUAUCUCUAAACAAUAUCACAGGAAUCAUUCCAAAGUGCCUUAAUAACCUCACUUCCAUGGUUCAAAAAACAGAGUCAGAAUAUUCCCUUGCGAAUAAUGCUGUUCUUAGUCCGUAUUUCACAUCAGAUAGCUAUGAUGCAUAUCAGAAUAAGAUGAGGGUUGGAUGGAAAGGAAGAGAGGAUGGUUACGAAAGCACACUAGGACUUUUGAGGAUCAUUAAUCUUGCAAGAAAUAAACUAAUUGGAGAAAUUCCAGAAGAGAUAACAGGACUCUUACUGUUGCUUGCACUGAAUUUAUCCGGAAAUACUUUGAGUGGAGAAAUCCCUCAAAAGAUUGGGCAGUUGAAACAGUUGGAAUCGCUUGAUUUGUCAGGAAACCAAUUAUCAGGAGUAAUUCCUAUCACAAUGGCUGAUCUAAAUUUUCUGGCUUUCUUGAACCUCUCCAACAAUCACUUGUCGGGGAGGAUUCCGUCAAGCACUCAGCUGCAAGGCUUUAAUGCUUCACAAUUUACCGGUAACCUUGCAUUGUGCGGGAAGCCACUCUUACAGAAAUGCCCUCGAGAUGAGACGAACCAAAGUCCACCUCCUAAUGAUGACAACCGAGGCAAAGAAGUCGUUGCUGAUGAAUUCAUGAAAUGGUUUUGUACUGCUAUGGGAAUUGGUUUUAGUGUAUUCUUUUGGGGAGUUUCAGGUGCUUUACUGCUAAAACUUUCCUGGAGACAUGCCUAUUUUGUUAGGAUAUUGCCAUUUGUGGCAAUACCCCACCACUAAGCAAGUGGAAGCAUGAAUUGUGCCACAAUUCAUGCCAUGCUUUAAGGCUUUGUUGGCCCCUCCAUGUUGACAAAUGUGUUGGAGGGGCUCACCAUAUUUGCCUAUAAAAGAGACAAUUAUUUGAGAGCAAAGUGAGAGGGUUGAAGUGAGAGAGAACGUGAGUGUGUGCAAGAGAGUGGAGAGAAAGAGAGAGCUGCAAUGGCUGCUGCCAUUGCAGCAGCUGCAAGAGCACCAAAGUUAGCUGAGAGUUGAGUUAGAGUGGAUGUAAUCCUCCUCCUCCAUGUAUCUCUAUAUCUAAUAAAAUGAACCUCUCCCGUGGAUGUAGGCGGUUUUGCCGAACCACGUAAAAAUAUUGUGUCAGUGUGCUUCCCCUCCGUUGAGCAACUAUCAGUACACCCCCGGUCCGCGCAUGGGGGAGCCGGAAUCCCCAACAAUUGGUAUCAGAGCUGAUGGUUUAAAGUGAUGUUUGAUUUUUGCUCAAAAAUGAAAGUUGUCAAAAUUGUGUUUUGACCAUACCACUGUGUAAAGGAGGAAGAGACGAAGCCACCGGUGAAAACGGCGUCAAAAUCGGACGUCGGACAUGGCCGCACUCUCCAUCACUCUCCGGCAAAGCGUCUGCCCACGGGCGCAGACGCGCCCCACGCGUCUUCUUCGCCCGGAUGGGCUGACCCGACCCGAAUACCAGUUGACCCGACCCACAUGGCUGACCCGGAUAUGAAUGACGUCAGCAUGACAUAAUUGUGAUGUCAGCAUGCACAGUAGGCAUGCCAGGGAUGACAUCAGCAUGAUGUAAUUUUGAUGUCAGCAUGCACAGUAGGCAUGCCAGGUCAUUAGACACGUCAUCGACCAGUCAGCAGACACGUCAGCAAAGUGGGACCCACCGGCCACAUCAUCAACCGCGAGUUGAGCCGAGCCGAGCCGCGAGCCGAGUGAUAAGAUUCUGUGCAGCGGAGUCUACGUGCAACCGGAUCUUAGAUUGAAUCUGGGCCGCUAAUCAGACCAGAAUUGUUUUGAUCAAAUCUUAGCCGUCUGAAGUGCGAUUUGGACGAUUUCAGACUUGUUUCCAGCUAAUUUGAUCGUUCCGGAUGCAAUGGUACGGUCCGAUCGUUGAGAUUUGAGACCGAAAGUGGUGGUGGUGAAUUAACAAAAGAGAUUGCCCGAUUAGGAGGCAUCUGAAGGUCAUCAUGGUUGUCGAUGGAGAUGAAGAAGAAGAAGGUGCACAUGUUUACCCAAUUACAUGUGUUGAACUGCUAAGUGGGUAGAAUUUUAACUGCCUUGAAGGAAGGCAAAAUUGGAACACUCUGGACACCCGAUCAUAUGGAUAAUUUGAGGUGAAGAGUGGAAAUUGAUGAAGACCAAUCUUGACGAAUCUAAGCUCUGGUAGUCUUGCCAGAUGUUGAGAACUGAUGUAUUAAACCAGUAUAUUGCAGAUCACUUGUAAAGGAAAGCCGCGACAAAGCUAGCAAAUGGUUGUAUAUACGGAAAGACAGUACGAUGGAUAGAUAUGGCCUGAGAAGUUCUGUCUAGGAGAUUGGGUUUUAAGCGGGACCAAUGUGACCCCUCCAAUCUUUCCUGGGAACUUGCUUAGUGGAAGGAUUAUCCAUACGGUACUAUUUUCAAAUAUAUAGCAGUUUGUAAUGAAACAGUUGAAGACUAGCAAGACGACGGCACAAGGGAACAGUUGGGUUCCGUAUGAUCAAGGCUCUGAUGAAGUGGUGAUUUCUCCAAAGAAGUUAGAUUCGGUGACUGUGAUUUCUCGAAGGGAGAAUUGAUGAAGACCCUGAUAAUGGAAGAGAAAUACAGCAAGGGGAUAAAGAUUGGCACCCUAUUUUGACUUGGACAGGUGUUAUGAUAGGAUGAGCUGCUGUCAAACAUAAGCAAAGAAUAGGGAGAAAUCUGGAGAACAGAAAUUGCACGAGGGCACACGGAGAUUGUGCAGGAGUACCCGUAGGAUCCAACGAGGUACUAUAAUGAGACAACAGGUGCAAGGAGAAGAAGUGUUCCCAGAUGAAGCUCAGAGCAGAGACUGUUAAAGUUUGUACAACAAGAAGUCUCUUAUGCUCUUGAUGAAGACAACAUGCGAAGACAUUUCCAAUGCAUGCAAGGAUGGAAAGAGAGCUGUUGCAGAGGCCCCUAAUUGAGGGGGUGCAAACGCCUGUGAUAAAAGGCGACCGCCUAUGAUGAAAGGCGAAGACACCAAAGAGAGUUGGUGUAGGUGGAGCUGUCAAGCAGAAAGACACAAAAGCUCCAAACAUAGAAAUCGAGGUGGAGGAUUGCGAGGAGUAUACCGCAACUUUCUCUUUCUAUGUAGUCAGUGGCAGUAAUCUCUCCCAUAGUGCACAUGGUGGUAGAGACUUUUGGAGCCACUUUGAAGCAUCUCAGCUGAAGGAGGAUGCGGCCACCUAUGAAAGGUGAAGACACCUUAGAUGGAAGGUGUGUGGGCCGUGAUAGAAGCCCCGAAUCAGACCGCCCCAUGACAACAGGCGAAGACACCUUAGAGAAGGUGUGAGGGCCAUGAUAGGAGCCCCAGUUCAGACCGCCACAUGACGAUGAGCGGAGAUACCUAAGGAGAAGGUGUGUGGGCCACGAUAUAAGCCCAGUUCAGAACAACCCCAAGCCAAUGUGAUGGCUGGAUAUGAGUGGACAGAUGGAUAGCCAAUGAAGUGGCUAUGAUGAGUAUGGAGACAAAUACAGGAUUGACUUUCAUGGAUAUUGCCCCCAUGCUAAAGAUCAAUGAGCUAGAAGACAUUUGCCUUGGACAAUAAGUGUGUGACUUGUGGAGCAUUAAGACGCGGCUGCUAUGACGGAGCAGAGGGCAUGCGCAGGUUCCGGGAACGAGUUGACUCUUGUCAAGGUGGUGAGCUCGGUAAUGGCAUUGUAAUACUCAGAGUAUGAAGACAUAUAUGGAUCAACCUUUAAUGGGCUACCCCCAUGGUUAAAGGUGGAGAGCUACCUGGACUCUUACGACUAAGAGCGAGAGACUCACGGAGAAGUAAGGCGUGGUUCCUAGGGUGGAACAGAGGGCAGGCGCAACUCCUGGAUGAGUAGACUCUUGGAAGAGUGGUGAGCUCGUGAUCACACUGAGAUACUCAGAUAAUGACUGUCGCACUUGGGAAUAUUCUGUUUGAGGGGGUGUUGUAAGCCUUGGUGUAAGGCUUGAAAAAUCAUUCCGGACCGAGCAUGGUUGAUACGCUCGAAGGGGGAUGUUGUGUUGAAGACGCUCUCAGAAUGGAAGCUUGGAAGAGCUGCAGAAUGCAAGCUUGUGCUAAAAAAGCAAGAUGACAAUUGCCCACACAAAUGGCAAAGGGGGUGAUUGUUAGGAUAUUGCCAUUUGUGGCAAUACCCCACCACUAAGCAAGUGGAAGCAUGAAUUGUGCCACAAUUCAUGCCAUGCUUUAAGGCUAUUGGCCCCUCCAUGUUGACCAUGAAAUGCCUAUAAAGGAGGCUUAUAUUUGAGAGAAAAAGAGAGAGAGAGAGAACGUGAGUGUGUGCAAGAGAGUGGAGAGAAAGAGAGCUGCAAUGGCAGCAGCUGCAAGUGCAGCAAGAGAGUUGAUGAGUUGAGUAGAGUGGAUGUAAUCCUCCUCCUCUACAUGUAUUUUUGUAUCCUUUCUCUAAUCUCUAAUAAUAUAGACUCUCUCCCGUGGAUGUAGGCGAUUUGCCGAACCACGUAAAAUAUUGUGUCUCAGUGUGCUUACCCUCCCUUGAGCAACUAUCAGUACACCACCGGUCCGCGCAUGGGGGAGCUGGAAUCCCCAACAUAUUUCCUGUUCUUGGAUGAAUCAUGGGACUGGCUCUAUGUGAAGGUAGCAGUGCGCAAGGCACGAAUUCAACGAGAAUUUCAGAGGCUGCAAGAGCACGUUCUUGCUUAGAAGGAUUGCAAGGUAAUAUGGUUAUUCACAUAUCUUUUCUUUUCUUUUUAUAUUGAAGACUAAUGGAGCAUAACAGGUCCGCUUUGUCCAAGGAGUCCGUAUUGUUAGUGCACGUGUUUGCUGGAGCUACAUCGUGCUUUACCUUGGCAACUUCAUCGUCGUCUACUACUACAAGUUUGAAAUAAGGUUCCAUUGGAGAACUCUUGGUACAGCUGCUGGUUUUAUGUGAAACUAUGAGAGUGAUUAUGUAAUAUAUUAUGGAAUCUCAAAAAAGGGUUCUUAUGUGAAUUUCAUUUGGAACGUUUUUGCAAAUAUUUAGUUCUUUACUUUACAGUGUGAAGAUGGAACAAAUUUAAUUAAAAACACAUGUAAUUUACAUUUUUAUUUAUCUGCUUUUGUUGAAUUAUUGGCAUUAAAUCAAGCAAUUAGCAGGUAUUGAAAUUGAUGUUAAUUCAAGCCUAUACAUGUAAUCACCGGAGGAAAUAAAAUUUCAGAGAAAUUUCUUCGACGAAUAGUUCAAAAGGUAUAAAUCUGUCAAUGGUGAUUGUUGAAAAGCAUGCCCACUCAUAUAAGAAAGGAAGGAGGCGAAAAAAUGGGGUUGCGACGCAGCCGUUGACGAGUUCCAUUGCUAUCUUACUUAAUGAGUCAAUGCUACAAAGCUAUUAAAAGAAUUUUUAAAGGGAUAAGUGAAUUCCUGUACAUUGUGAGAAGUCAUCAGAAGUCAUUCAAUACUGAACAUCAUCGAACACAAGUCGUUUAGCUGACUAAUUGCUUGAUUUUUUCAUGAAUGUAUAAGAAUCUCAAUCUGGAAAUCACAAAGAUUAUGAACUGGGAAAUGAGAUUUCCCUUAGAAUAUGUAAUUUUCUUGCUAAUUAGGCCCAGAAAAUCUAACUCAGAAAAUAUAUCUGUUAUUAUGUUGUUCUGUGCAUGGCAGUGUGAAAUUGGUCUCGCUGCAGAAUUAAUUUAAUUCAUAUUCCCAUGUAGGAUUGCAGCAAUCUAUCUAACGCAUUUAAAAUCGGCAGCAUGCAUGAUUAGUUAAGCAGACAACUAUGCAGAUAUUUUCGAAGACAUUUGUGAAAUGUCCUGAAAAUACAACUGUUCAUCAACUAGUAUUAACAUCUAAUUUCUUGUUUAAUCACCAAUCAGAGAAUAAAACAUCACGCCCUUCAAAUGCUUAUACACCCCAAAGUUUGCCACACCUUUCCACUAAUCAGAAACUUGCAAGUUUGAAUCUAUCCCACACCAUUCCUGCAAAUCUCCUACAUUCAGCAACUGCAUGACCUGAAUAAGAGUCCAAUUUCUAUCCAUGAAGAGCAGCAUAGGUUAAGGUAAGUCCGUAGAUAUUACUGAAAAGCACAACAUUUCAGCAACUCAAGUUUUCACUUUUCAAGACCUUAGUUAACAUCGCUAUAAGCAUCUUUACAAACACGAAAUAUUCACAUCUACAAGGCAAGACUGAUAUUCACCAAAUAUUAGCACUUCUCCAGAAAAUUUAGGUGUUGUCUGCAUCAUCAACAUAAAAAUUACAGUUGCUGAUGCUAUUUGGGAUUGUGAUAGCGAUGAUAAUUCGGUUCAAAAUACUUUUCGUUAAGAAAUAUAUAAAAAAAAUAAUAAUUUUUUUUUAUUUUUUAAAAAUCAUUUUGAAAAUAAAAAUAAUCAAUGUUGGUAUGGCCAUUGACUUUCUUAAAGUGAGUUCGUUAUUUCAUUGAAGAGAGAAAAGCCCAGGCUGGCCAUCAACAGACCAAAGGUUUCAUAAGGCCAUAAGGGUUGGGCGCAAUACCCCUUUUGUGUAGAAGAUGUGAUUACAAAAUAUAGAUAUUUUUUAUUUUAAUAUUUUUUUUAUGGAUAUCUAAUAUUAUUUUCAGUAAAAAUUUUAGGAAUAAAUGUUGUGAAGUUAAUAAAACCCUGAACCUCAUUACAAUAAGUCAUUCUCCGCAAUUCUUCGGGUGAAUCUCGAUACAUCCAUGACUUUUAUUGAACCUCUAUAAAAUUAUGAUGACAACAUGUAUUAAUUAACUAUAUUAGGUAUAUAAAUUUACAAAAAUAUUAGUUUACCUCGAGAUUAUCAACAAACUAAUUACAGUUUCUCAUAAAUAUUAAAUAUUAAUUAUCAAUUAUCAACAUUUAUACAAAUUUAUACAUAUAAAUUUAUAAAAAUUACAACUCCACAAUAACAUUAAUAAAAAUUAAAACAAAUCGUUAAACAAGCUAUUAAUUCCCAUGCAACAUCGAGUGAUAGAGAAGAUUUAAAGCAUUGUGAGUUACCCGACUUUACUUGGAGCCAUUUCCACCAUUUCCCCCACAAUGCUCCUUUAACACUUCCGAAACCUGCCUGCCUGUACCAGUAUUGGGGUUGGAUGUCUUUUCUGAAUUUUGAAGGGGCGUUGGUUUUUCUUGAUUAGCAAAAGCGCCAUCAGUUAUUUCACAAGUCACUUCAGAAACUUCAAUGAUUUUGUCUAUUAUAAGUACAUCUGCAUCUUCAGCUGCAUCCUGAUCCUUACAAACAGCAUCCCGGGUCCAAGUUAUACUGAGAACAGAUAAAUCAGCGAAUCAUAUUAUCUUAGACAAGAAGCAUGAGUAACAACAUACAUGCUAAGCUAGCAAAUAUGCAAGAAAAGAGUAGAAAGUUUGUCAGGAAAAGAUUUAUACCUAUUGUUAAUAGCAUCUUCAGAUAAAUUUGCACCGGCAAUUUCUUCUUGCCUCCUUUUCCUAUUGCUCUGACUUUUCCCUGGUUGAGAAUCAACAGAAUUAUCCACAGAUGAGUUGUCAACUCGUCUUUUCCUUCCAGCCUGUGCUGCUAGAUCAGAAAUUGGGUGCGUGAUCCUUUCAUUUGCAACUUCCACGAUAUCAUAAUCAGCAGCACGUGCUUCCUUUGUAAUAUUGCCUUCAGGAGGCACUCCAGGCAUCACCUUUGGCUCACCAUAAGCAUAUCUAAUAGGCUGGCUUUUGUCAAAAAAUUCUACUGACAUAAACUUUUGCCCACAGUAUCCAUUCGAGGUAUCCAAUGUUCCAGCUUCUAAGAGCCGCGAUCCAUUCAAGCACCAACAAUUUAUUCCGAAAACAACAAACAAUAACACUGACACUUCCAGGAACAAACAUUCAUAAACAACCAUCUCAAAAAUUCUAAACUUUCUUCCUCACAGUUCAAGAUCUAAAGGACCCAGUAGAACAAAAUCAAAAACUAAAAAAAAAUUCUUUGCUUAAACCUCGUUUGGGCAACUAGAAAAUGAAGAAAAAAGAGAGAAUGCGAGGGUCAAAGCUUGCAAAUUGAGUUUUCUGAGACUUGUGCAUGAUUAAGAACAAUGAUAUUUGGCCUGGGCUAAUAUGCUUGUGGUUGAGCAUUGUAGAGUGCUAUUAAUAUCCUUAUGUUACUUGGCCUUGGCUAAUAUGCUUGUGGUUGAGCAUUUUAGCAUGAAAAGCCUGUUCAUUGCAUAUCUGCUGUUGUGUUUGUCCUGAUUUACAAGAUAAGGAAAGCGAUUACAGCUGGAUUUUUUUUCCAUGCAGCUAGAAAGGACCCACAGGAGGGUUAUCGGACUUUGGUUUAGAACCAGCCAGUUUAUAUCCACCCCAGCAGUGCUCUUUUCCAGAGAACCAGACUGGGUCAUCUACCAUGAGCUGGUAAUGACUACAAAAGAGUAUGCGUGAGGUCACGGUUAUAGAUCCCAAAUGGCUUGUGGAACUAGCUCCCAGGUUCUUUAAAGUAUCAGAUCCUACAAAAAUGAGCAAGCGAAAGCGUCACGAACGCAUUGAACCUCUCUACGAUAGAUACCACGAACCUAAUUCAUGCCGUUUGAGUAAAAGGCGAGCUUAAUGUGUUUUGAGUUGUUUAUAUCAACUAGUUUUUAAUCUUAAUUCAUUUUUUCUUGCUAUAAACAUGUAGUUGUACAUACUCUCUGUCUUGAA